CAGUGACACCUACAUCAGUAAAUAGACAGUUGUAGCCCAUUUGACAAAGUUGCGAAACGGAAAGCAAAUUGUAAUCUAAAGAAUCUACAAGAAAAACAUUGGAAAUAGUAUGGUCAGGUGAUAUAGCAAUUUUACCCAAUCCUUUGACCAAACCUUGAUUUCCAUCCCCGAAUGUGAUAGCUCGUUGGGGAUCUUGGUUUUUCUCAUAUGAGGAGAACAUCUUCUUCUCCCCUGUCAUGUGGUUUGUGCACCCGCUGUCGAGUAUCCAACUUGAGCCCCCGGAUGCAUAAACCUACAAAACAAUUUUAGUUCUUGAUUUUAGGUACCCAAACGGUCUUGGGUCCUUUGGCAUUAGAAACAAGAACUUUGGGUACCUAAACACAAGUCUUGGAGCCCUUGUGUUUGCCCCCAACAAACUUGGCAACUACCUUGCCGGAUUUGUUAGUCAAAACAUAAGAUGCAUCAAAAGUCUUAAAUGAAAUGCUAUGAUCAUUUGAUGCAUUAGGAGUUUUCUUCUUAGGCAACUUGGCACGGGUUGGUUGCCUAGAGCUAGAUGCCUCACCCUUAUACAUAAAAGCAUGAUUAGAGCUAGAGUGGGACUUCCUAGAAUGAAUUUUCUUAAUUUUGCUCUCGGGAUAACCGGCAGGGUACAAAAUGUACCCCUCGUUAUCCUGAGGCAUUGGAGCCUUGCCCUUAACAAAGUUAGACAAGUUUUUAGGAGGGGCAUUAAGUUUGACAUUGUCUCCCCUUUGGAAGCCAAUGCCAUCCUUGAUGCUAGGGCGUCUCCCAUUAUAGAGCAUACUUCUAGCAAAUUUAAACUUUUCAUUUUCUAAGUUAUGCUCGGCAAUUUUAGCAUCUAAUAUUGCUAUAUGAUCAUUUUGUUGUUUAAUUAAAGCCAUGUGAUCAUGAAUAGCAUUGAUAUCAACAUCUCUACAUCUAGUACAAAUAGAAGUGUGCUCAACGGUAGAUGUACAGGGUUUGCAAGAUUUUAGUUCUACAACCUUAGCAUGCAACAUAUCAUUCUUAGUUCUAAGGUCGGAAAUAGUAGUAUUGCAAACAUCUAAUUCUUUAGCCUUAGCAAACAAUUUCUCAUUCUUAUCUCUAAGGCUAGCAAGAGAAGCAUUCAACUCAUCAAUCCUAGCAAGCAAAUCAAAAUUAUCAUUUCUAGGAUAGGACGUUGAAUCAAUACAAACAUGAGAAUCAACCUUAGCAAUUAAUUUAGCAUUUUCACUUCUAAGGUUGGCAAUAGUGUCAUGGCAUGUGCUUAGCUCACUAGAUAAUUUGUCACAUUUUUCUACCUCUAGAGCAUAAGCAUUUUUAACCUUAACAUGCUUUUUGUUUUCCUUAAUAAGGAAGUCCUCUUGAGAGUCCAAGAGAUCAUCCUUCUCAUGAAUAGCACUAAUCAAUUCAUUUAAUUUUUCCUUUUGUUGCAUGUUAAGAUCGGCAAAAAGGGUACGCAAAUUAUCCUCCUCAUCACUAGCAUUAUCAUCACUAGAGGAUUCAUAUUUAGUGGGGGAUUUAGAUUUAACCUUCUUCCUUUUGCCGUCCUUUGCCAUGAGGCACUUGUGGCCGACGUUGGGGAAGAGGAGUCCCUUGGUGACGGCGAUGUUGGCGGCGUCCUCGUCGGAAGAGGACUCGGUGGAGCUCUCGUCGGAGUCCCACUCCCGGCAAACAUGGGCAUCGCCGCCCUUCUUCUUGUAGUACUUCUUCUUUUCUCUCCUCUUUCCCUUCUUGUCGUCGCCCCUGUCACUGUCACUAGAUAUAGGACAUUUUGCAAUGAAAUGACCGGGCUUACCACAUUUGUAGCACACUUUCUUGGAGCGGGGUUUGUAGUCCUUCCCCCUUUGUUGCUUGAGGAUUUGGCGAAAGCUUUUGAUGAUUAAAGCCAUCUCCUCAUUGUCGAGCUUGGAGGCGUCAAUUGGUUGUCUACUUGGUGUAGACUCCUCCUUCUUCUCCUCCGUCGCCUUAAAUGCCACCGGUUGCGCCUCGGACGUGGAGGGUUCGUCAAGCUCGUUGAUCUUCUUUGAGCCUUUAAUCAUGCAUUCAAAGCUCACAAAAUUCCCGAUAACUUCCUCGGGAGUCAUUAGCGUGUAUCUAGGAUUACCACGAAUUAAUUGAACUUGAGUAGGGUUAAGGAAAAUAAGUGAUCUCAAUAUAACCUUAACCACCUUGUGGUCAUCCCAUUUCUUGCUCCCGAGGUUGCACACUUGGUUCACCAAGGUUUUGAGCCGGUUGUACAUAUCUUGUGGCUCCUCCCCUUGGCGAAGACGAAAGCGACCGAGCUCCCCCUCGAUCGUUUCCCGCUUUGUGAUCUUGGUGAGUUCAUCACCCUCGUGCGCGGUCUUGAGUAGGUCCCAAAUCUCCUUUGCAUUCUUCAACCCUUGUACCUUGUUGUAUUCCUCCUUGCUUAGAGAGGCGAGGAGUAUGGUUGUAGCUUGAGAGUUGAAGUGCUCGAUUUGGGCCACUUCGUCCGUAUCAUAAUCUUCAUCCCCUAUGGAUGAUACCUGUGCUCCAAACUCAACAACAUUCCAUAUACUUUUGUGGAGUGAGGUUAGAUGAAAUUUCAUUAAAUCACUCCACCUAGCAUAAUCUUCGCCAUCAAAGGUUGGCGGUUUGCCUAAUGGAACGGAAAGUAAUGGAGUAGGUCUAGAUGUACGAGGAUAGUGUAAGGGGAUCUUACUAAACUUCUUGCGCUCUUGGCGCUUAGAAGUUACGGACGGCACAUCGGAGUCGGAGGUCGAUGUUGAUGAAGUGUCGGUCUCGUAGUAGACCACUUUCCUCAUCCUCUUGUGCUUGUCGCCUUUCCGAUGCGACUUGUGUGAAGAAGAUUUUUCCUUCUUCUCUUUGUGGUGAGAAGAAGAGGAUCUUUUCUCCUUCCGUUUGGAGGAGUCCUUCUUCUUCUCCUUCCUCUUGGUGCGGGACUCUUCAGAUGAAGUGCUCCCUUGGCUCGUAGUGGGCUUGUCGCCGGUCUCCAUCUCCCUCUUGGUGUGAUCUCCCGACAUCACUUCGAGCGGUUAGGCUCUAAUGAAGCACCGGGCUCUGAUACCAAUUGAAAGUCGCCUAGAGGGGGGGGGGUGAAUAGGGCGAAACUGAAAUUCUCAAAAAUAAUCACAACUAUAAGCCGGGUUAGCGUUAGAAAUAUAAUAGAGUCCGUGAGAGAGGGUGCAAAACAAAUCGCAAACGAAUAAUGAAGUGAGACACGCGGAUUUGUUUUACCGAGGUUCGGUUCUCUCAAACCUACUCCCCGUUGAGGAGGCCACAAAGGCCGGGUCUCUUUCAAGCCUUACCCUCUCUCAAACGGUCCCUCGGACCGAGUGAGCUUUCUCUUCUCAAUCACUUGGAACACAAAGUUCCCACAAGGACCACCACAAGUUUGGUGUCUCUUGCCUCAAUUACAAGUGAGUUUUGAUCGCAAGAAAGAAUCAAGAAGGAAGAAGGCAAUCCAAGCGCAAGAGCUCGAAAGAACACAAGCAAAUCUCUCUCUCUAAUCACUAGGGCGUUGUGUGGAAUUUGGAGAGGAUUUGAUCUCUUUGGAGUGUCUAGAAUUGAAUGCUAGAGCUCUUGUAAGUAGUUGAGAAGUGGAAAACUUGGAUGUAAUGAAUGGUGGGUGGUUGGGGGUAUUUAUAGCCCCAACCACCAAACUAGCCAUUUGGUGAGGCUGUCUGUUCGAUGGCGCACCGGACAGUCCGGUGCACACCGGACAUGUCCGUUGCGAUAGCCACGUCACCAAAACCGUUGGGUUCCGACCGUUGGAGCUCUGUCUUCUGGGCCCGCCUAGAUGUCCGGUGGCGCACCGGACAUGUACUGUUGAGUGUCUGGUGCUCCAGCAUGGGCGUGCCUGACCUCUGCGCGCGCAUUUAAUGCGUCGCAGGUAGCCGUUGGCGCCGAGAUAGCCGUUGCCCCGCUGUUACACCGGACAGUCCGGUGUACACCGGACAGUCCGGUGAAUUUUAGCAGAGCGGCUGAAGUGAAAUCCCGAGGCUGGCGAGUUCCUGAGGCCGCUCUUCCUUGGAGCACCGGACAUGUCCGGUGUACACCGGACAGUCCGGUGAAUUAUAGCGGAGUCGCCUCUGGAAUUUCCCGAAGGUGACGAGUUUGAAGUUCGAGUCCUCUGGUGCACCGGACAUGUCCGGUGGCACACCGGACAGUCCGGUGCGCCAGACUAGAGAUGCCUUCGGUUGUCCCUUUGCUCUUUUGUUGAACCCAAUACUUGGUCUCUUUAUUGGCUAAGUGUGAACCUUUGGCACCUGUAUAACUUAUAUACCAGAGCAAACUAGUUAGUCCAAAUAUUUGUGUUGGGCAAUUCAACCACCAAAAUUAUUUAGGAACUAGGUGUAAGCCUAAUUCCCUUUCACAAACCUUCUUGGAACGGGAUUUGUAGUCUUUCCCCUUCCGUUGCUUGAGGAUUUGGCGAAAGCUUUUGAUGAUUAAAGCCAUCUCCUCGUUGUCGAGCUUUGAAGCAUCGAUUGGUUGUCUACUUGGUGUAGACUCCUCCUUCUUCUCCUCUGUCGCCUUGAAUGCCACUGGUUGUGCUUCGGAUGUGGAGGGAUCAUCAAGCUCGUUGAUCUUCUUUGAGCCCUUGAUCAUACACUCAAAGCUCACAAAAUUCUCGAUAACUUCCUCGGGGGUCAUUAGUGUAUAUCUUGGGUUGCCACGAAUUAAUUGAACUUGAGUAGGGUUAAGGAAAAUAAGAGAUCUUAGAAUAACCUUAACCACCUCGUGGUCAUCCCACUUUUUGCUCCCGAGGUUGCGCACGUGGUUCACCAAGGUUUUGAGCCGGUUGUACAUGUCUUGUGGCUCCUCCCCUUGGCGAAGACGGAAGCGACCGAGCUCCCCCUCGAUCGUUUCCCUCUUGGUGAUCUUGGUGAGUUCAUCACCCUCGUGCGCGGUCUUGAGUAAGUCCCAAAUCUCCUUCGCACUCUUCAACCCUUGCACCUUGUUAUAUUCCUCUCUACUUAGAGAGGCAAGGAGUAUGGUUGUGGCUUGGGAGUUGAAGUGCUCGAUUUGGGCCACCUCAUCCUCAUCAUAGUCUUCAUCCCCUACGGAUGGUACCUGUGCACCAAACUCAACAACAUCCCAUAUACUUUUGUGGAGUGAGGUUAGAUGAAAUCGCAUUAAAUCACUCCACCUAGCAUAAUCUUCACCAUCAAAUAUUGGUGGUUUGCCUAAUGGGACAGAAAGCAAAGGUGUAUGUUUAGAAAUGCGAGGGUAGCGUAGGGGAAUCUUACUAUACUUCUUGCGCUCUUGGCGCUUAGAAGUGACGGACGCCGCGUCGGAGACGGAGGUGGAUGCCGAUGAAGAAUCGGUCUCGUAGUAGACCAUUUCCUCAUCCUCUUUUUCUUGUCCCCACUCCGAUGCGGCUUGUGGGAAGAGGAUUUUUCCUUCUUCUCUUUGUGGUGUGAAGAAGAUUUCUUCUCCUUCCCUUUGGAGGAGUCCUUCUUCUUCUCCUUCCUCUUGGUGCGGGACUCUUCCGAUGAAGUGCUCCUGUGGCUUGUAGUGGGCUUUUCGCCGGUCUCCAUCUCCUUCUUGGCGUGAUCUCCCGACAUCACUUCGAGCGGUUAGGCUCUAAUGAAGCACCGGGCUCCGAUACCAAUUGAUAGUCGCCUAGAGGGGGGGUGAAUAGGGCGAAACUGAAAUUUACAAAUAUAAACACAACUACAAGCCGGGUUAGCGUUAGAAAUAAUAACGAGUCCGCGAGAGAGGGUGCAAAACAAAUCUCAAGCAAAUAAGGGGUGUGACACAAGGAUUUGUUUUACCGAGGUUCGAUUCUUGCAAACCUACUCCCCGUUGAGGUGGUCACAAAGACCGGGUCUCUUUCAACCCUUUCCCUCUCUCAAACGGUCCUUCCGACCGAGUGAGCUUCUCUUCUCAAAUCAAAGCCGGGAACAAAACUUCCCCGCAAGGGCCACCACACAAUUGGUGCCUCUUGCCUUGAUUACAAUGAAGUUUUGAUCACAAGAACAAGUGAGAAAGAAAAGAAGCAAUCCAAGCGCAAGAGCUCAAAAGAACACGGCAAAUCUCUCUCGCUAAUCACUAAAGCCUUGUGUGGAAUUGGAGAGGAUUUGAUCUCUUUGGUGUGUCUAGAAUUGAAUGCCUAGCUCUUGUAAGUGGUUGGGAAGUGGAAAACUUGGAUACCAUGAAUGGUGGGUGGUUGGGGUAUUUAUAGCCCCAACCACCAAACUAGCCGUUUGGUGGGGCUGACUGUCGUAUGGUGCACCGGACAGUCCGGUGUACACCGGACAUGUCCGGUGCGCCAGCCACGUCACCAAAGCCGUUGGGUUCCGACCGUUGGAGCUCUGUCUUCUGGGCCCGCCUGGAUGUCCGGUGGCGCAUCGGACAUGCACUGUAGAUUGUCCGGUGCGCCAGAAUGGGCGUGUCAGACCUCUGCGCGCGCAGCGCGCGCAUUUAAUGCGUCGCAGGUAGCCGUUGGCGCCGAAAUAGCCGUUGGCCCGCUGUUACACCGGACAGUCACCGGACUGUCCGGUGUACACCGGACAGUCCUGUGAAUUAUAGCGAAGCAGCCAAACUGAAAUCCCGAGGCUGGCGAGUUCCUGAGGCCGCUCUCCCUUGGAGCACCGGACAUGUCCGGUGUACACCGGACAGUCCGGUGAAUUAUAGCGAUGUUGCCUCUGGAAAUUCCCGAAGGUGAUGAGUUUGAAGCUGGUGUCCUCUGGUGCACCGGACAUGUCCGGUGGCACACCGGACAGUCCGAUGCGCCAGACCAGAGGUGCCUUCGGUUGUCCCUUUGCUCUUUUGUUGAACCCAAUACUCGGUCUUUUUAUUGGCUAAGUGUGAACCUUUGGCACCUGUAUAACUUAUACACUAGAGCAAACUAGUUAGUCCAAUUAUUUGUGUUGGGCAAUUCAACCACCAAAAUUAAUUAGGGACUAGGUGUAAGCCUAAUUCCCUUUCAAUAGUAAUAUAGCAGUACAUGCCAAAGGGUGUGAUGAAAGAAGUCGCGAGCUGGUCGGACUCUUUCAUCCUGAUUUGGUGAUACCCUGAGUAGGCAUCAAGGAAUGACAGGGUUUCACACCCAGCAGUGGAAUCCACGAUUUGAUCGAUGCGAGGCAGAGGGUAGGGAACCUUCGGACAUGCUUUGUUCAGACUAGUGUAGUCUACACACAUCCGCCAUUUCCCACCUUUCUUUUUCACAAGCACAGGGUUGGCUAGCCAUUCGGGAUGGAAUACCUCUUUGAUGAACCCUGCAGUCACCAGCUUGUGGAUCUCCUCGCCUAUGGCUCUGCGCUUUUCUUCGUCGAAUCGGCGUAGAGGCUGCUUCACGGGUCGGGCUCUAGCUCGGAUAUCCAACGAGUGCUCGGCGACAUCCCUCGGUAUGCCAGGCAUGUCCGAGGGACUCCACGCAAAAACCUCGGCGUUUGCGCGGAGAAAGUCGACGAACUGCUUCCUAUUUGGGGUCGAGCUCGGAGCCGAUUCGUACUUGCUUGGAGGCAUCGUUGCUGGGGUCGAGAGGGACGGACUUAACCGCCUCUGCUGGCUCGAAGUUGCCGGCAUGGCGCUUCGCAUCUGGCACCUCCUUGGAGAGGCUCUCCAGGUCGGCGAUGAGGGCCUCGGACUCGGCGAGGGCCUCAGCAUACUCCACGCACUCCACGUCGCAUUCGUACGCGUGUCGGUAUGUGGAGCCGAUGGUGAUGACCCCGUUGGGGCCCGACAUCUUGAGCUUGAGGUAGGUGUAGUUGGGGACGGCCAUGAACUUGGCGUAGCAUGGUCUCCCCAGCACUGCAUGGUAGGUUCCUCGAAACCCGACCACCUCGAACGUGAGGGUUUCCUUUCGGAAGUUGGAGGGAGUCCCGAAGCAGAUGGGCAGAUCGAGUUGCCCAAAAGGUUGGACGCGCUUCCCAGGGAUGAUUCCGUGAAAGGGCGCCGCACCGGCCCGGAUCGUGGACAAAUCGAUCUGCAAGAGCCCGAGGGUCUCGACGUAGAUGAUGUUGAGGCUGCUGCCUCCGUCCAUGAGGACCUUGGUAAGCCUGACGUUGCUGAUGACGGGAUCGAGAACGAGCGGGUACUUCCCCGGGCUCGGCACGUGGUCGGGGUGGUCGCCUUGGUCGAAGGUGAUGGGCUUGUCGGACCAGUCUAGGUAGACUGGCGCCGCCACCUUCACCGAGGAGACCUCCCGGCGCUCCUUCUUGCGGUGCCGAGCCGAGGCGUUCGCCACCCGCCCACCGUAGAUCAUGAAGCAGUCAUGGACCUCGGGGAACUCCUCUGCCUUGUGGUCUUCCUUCUUGUCGUUGUCGUGGGCUUUGCCACCUCCCGCCGGUGGCCCGACCUUGUGGAAGUAGCGCCGAAGCAUGACGCACUCCUCAAGGGUGUGCUUGACGGGACCCUGAUGAUAGGGGCACGACUCCUUGAGCAUUUUGUGGAACAGGUUCCGGGGGUUCCUGUGUUCGGCAGCGGCGACAAGAUCUGCGUCGGUGGUGUCGCGUUUCGUUUGCGACUUCUUCUUGCCCUUCUUCUUCGUGCUGCGCUGAGCGGACGCCUCGGGGAUGUCUUCCUGCUGGCGUCCCUGAGGCUGCUUGUCCUUCCAGAAGAUGGCCUCGACCGCCUCCUGGCCAGAGGCGAACUUGGUGGCGAUGUCCAUCAGCUCGCUCGCCCUGGUGGGAGUCUUGCGACCCAGCUUGCUCACCAGGUAAGGGCAAGUGGUGCCGGCGAGGAACGCGCCGAUGACAUCUGAGUCGGUGAUGUUGGGCAGCUCGGUGCGCUGCUUCAAAAAUCACCGGAUGUAGUCCCGCAGGGAUUCUCCCGGCUGUUGGCGGCAGCUUUGGAGAUCCCAGGAGUUCCCAGGGCGCACGUAUGUGCCCUGGAAGUUUCCGGCGAAGGCUUUGACCAGGUUGUCCCAGUUGGAGAUCUGCGUAGGAGGCAGAUGCUCCAGCCAGGCUCGGGCGGCGUCGGAGAGGAACAGGGGGAGGUUGCAGAUGAUGAGGUUGUCAUCGUCCAUUCCACCCAGCUGGUAGGCCAGCCGGUAGUCCGCGAGCCACAGUUCCGGCCUUGUUUCCCCCGAGUACUUGGUGAUGGUAGUCGGGGUCCGGAACUGGGUCGGGAACGACACCCGUUGUAUGGCCCGGCUGAAAGCUUGCGGACCGGGUGGUUUGGGCGAGGGGCUCCGAUCCUCCCCGAUGUCGUAGCGUCCCCCACGCCUGGGGUGGUAGCCUCGAUGCACCUUUUCGUCGAGGCGGGCUCGACGGUCGCGGCGAUGGUGCUCGUUGCCAAGGCGGCCCGGGGCCGCAGGCGCUGUGUCCCGCGUGCGCCCGGUGUAGACCGAGGCUUCCCGCAUGAAUCAGGAGGUCGCGGUGCGAUGCUCCGGGGGGUAUCCCUGCCUUCGGGAGGCAGAGCUUUCGGCCCGUCGGACCGCGGCAUCCUCCAGGAGAUUCUUGAGUUCUCCCUGGAUACGUCGUCCCUCGGUGGUGGAUGGUUCCGGCAUCGCUCGGAGUAGUAUUGCUAUUGCAGCCAGGUUCUGGCCGACCCCACUGGAAGCCAGGGGCAGCCGUGCCCUGGCAUCGUCAGCGAUGCGGUGUUGGACGUCCUAGGGCAGAUGACGCGCUUCUCUGGCUGGUGCUCGGCCUGCCCACUCCUGCCCGAUGUUUUGCCGGAGCUGCACAAGUUGCCCUGCUUCCUCGUCGAGCCUGGACUGCAUCUCGUGGAUUUGCUCGAGCUGUGCGUCCUGACCCCCCGCAGGGACUGGGACCACAGCUAGCUCCCGAAGGAUGUCAACGCGAGGCGCAGGCCUAGGGGGGUCGCCGUCCUCCGGCAUACCAAGGUGGUUGCCUUCGUCGAGACCCCCUAGAUCGACGUGGAAACAUUCACAACUUGGGCCACAGUCCUCGUUGCCGAGGCUGUGGCUAUCAUCAGAGCAAUCGGAGAGGUAGUAGUCACAUGUGGUCAUGAAGUCCCGCAUGGCACUGGGGUUCCCGAGACCGGAGAAAUCCCAACCAUAGUCGGGCUCAUCAUCUUCCUCGGAACCCGGGGGCCCGUAGGUCGAGACGGCCGUCAAUCGGUCCCAGGUUGACCACAUAUGAUACCCCAGAAGGUUCGGAUAUGCCUUUACGAAAGCGUCCACCGAAGCGGGGUCGCUUGGUGGGUCGAAGCUGAAUCUAAAAGGCAAAGGGUGGAAAACGGACGGUACAUCUUGAUAGACGGAUGGUGACGGAGUCGCGUCAGGGACGGACUACACCGUCAUCUCAGGUACGAGGCUAACGCCCAGCAGGUCCUUCGCGAGCGUGCUGGCGUCAUUCGUCCGCUUGGGGUUGGCGUGUCACGGGGAAACGACGCCCGUCUUCGUCUCAGACGCGAGGUCGACGCCUGACGUGUCCGCCGCUGGGGCGCCCAUCGACUCGCUCGACAACAGACGAGGUGCCGCCUCCUACUUGGCCAUGGUUGCCCCGCCUCCUCCUCCGUCGGCAGGGAAGGUGACGGGAUAGACUCGGAUGAUGUUCUUCUGCCAUGCGGGGAAGACGUCGUCGAUUCCGCCGCCGGUGGGCGGGCUGACGGCCGCCAUUGUCGUUGUCGCGCGGCGGAGGAAGGAGUACCAUGUCGUAGCUGCUGUCGAGGGACAUGAACUCGAGACUCCCAAAACGGAGCAGCGUCCCGGGCUAGAGAGGUUGCUGGAGACUACCCAUCUGGAGCUUGACGGGAAGCUGUUCGUCAACACGCAGUAGGCCCCUACCUGGCGCGCCAACUGUCGGCGUUUCGACCCCGGGGGGUCCCUGGACCGACAAGUAAAUUGUCGCUGUGUGUCCCAGCCCAGAUGGGUCGGCGCGAGACGGAACACAAGGGGGAAAACGAUAAGGGGAACCGCGGCUCAUGUUGUCCUGCGCCCAGGGCGGAUGCGCUUGUAGUAGGAGGUUACAAGCGUUUGCGAGGGAGAGAGAGAGAGAGCCUGCUCGUCAGCCCGUCCUCCCGCGUGGCCACCUUUUUCUGUACGAGGGCCUUGGACCUUCCUUUUAUAGACGUAAGGAGAGGGCCCAGGUGUACAAUGGGAGGUGUAGCUGUGUGCUAAUGUGUCCGGCAGAGAGGAGCCAGAGUCCUAUGUACAUGCCGAUGUGGCUGUCGGAGAGGUGUUGGUGCCCUGUUCAUGUGAUGUCGUGGCCGUCGGAGGAGCGCUUAAACCCUAUAGAAGCACAGCUGUCGGGGCUAUCGGGACCUUGCUGACGUCUCCUUGCUUCCGUAGGGGGCUUGAGAACCGCCGUCAUCACGGAGCACGCGGGGUGCCAUCAUUACUUGUUUUACCGGGGCGAGCCAGAUGGGACGCCGGUCUUGUUCCCCGUAGCCUGAGCUAGCUAGGGGUAGGGUAAUGAUGUACCCCCCUGUGACGUGGUUGGCCCGAGCCCAAGGUCGGGCGAGGAGGAGGCUCCUCCGAGGUCGAGGCUGAGUCCGAGCCUUGGGGUCGGGCGAGGCGGAGACCGUCGUCCGAGGUCGAGGUUGAGUCCGAGCCCUGGGGUCGGGCGAGGCGGAGACCAUCGUCCGAGGUCGAGGUUGAGUCCGAGCCCUGGGGUCGGGCGAGGCGGAGACCGUCGUCUGGGGUCGAGGUUGAGUCCGAGCCCUAGGGUCGGGCGAGGCGGAGACCGUCGUCCGAGGUCGAGGUUGAGUCCGAGCCUUGGGGUCGGGCGAGGCAGAGACCGUCGUCCGAGGUCGAGGUUGAGUUCGAGCCCUGGGGUCGGGCGAGGCAGAGACCGUCGUCUGGGGUCGAGGCUGAGUCCGAGCCCUGGGGUCGGGCGAGGCGGAGCUUCCUAUGGCGCCCAAGGCUGGACUUGGCCGCUGUCAGCCUCACCCUGGCAGGUGGCACAGCAGUCGGAGUAGCGCAGGCGGCGCUGUUUUCCUGUCAGGUCAGUCAGUGGAGGGGCUAAGUGACUGCGGUCACUUCAGCCUUGUCGACUGAGGAGCACGCGUCAGGAUAAGGUGUCAGGCGAUCCUUGCAUUGAAUGCUCCUGUGAUGUGGUCGGUUGGCGUGGCGAUCUGGCCAAGGUUGCUUCACUGCGAAGCCUGCCCGAGCUGGGCCUCGGGCGAGUCGAAGGUGCGCCCGUUACUUGAGGAUGCCCUCGGGCGAGUCGUAAAUCUGCCUUGGUCUACUGUUCCUGCCCGAGGCUGGGCUCGGGCGAGGCGAGAUCGUGUCCCUUGAGUGGACGGAGCCUUUGACCUGAAUUGCGCCCAUCAGGCCUUUGCAGCUUUGUACUGAUGGUGGUUACCAGUCGAGUUUAGGAGUCUUGGGGGUACCCCUAAUUAUGGUCCCUGACAACCCUCUAACCAAGCACACCCUAAGACUAAGGCACAUCGGAUUGGCAUGAUCAUAUCACUUUUUUCUGUCUUGUCGGUCCGUAUGAUGUGGUUAUGUCGCACUCGGAUUUAAGGACAAAAAUACUGAUGUGUCUCAAAUGUGUGUUAGGAUCAAGUCCCACACAUAUGAUGACUCAUGAUAUAGAAAUCAAUGUCACAUCUUUCUUAUAUAAUAAAGGUUCUGCAUAAAAUAGCUAAACAAAUACAUCAUAUGGCGACAACGAUCCUCCACCAUCAUAGUGGACUAGGAGACGACAGCCUAGACCUCUCCGAACUCAUCGUAGCUUCCUUAAUGCUCCUCAUCUUGUGGUACCAGUUCUUGAUGUGGUAUGAUUAUAGCAAGGGUGAGCUCACAUACGUUCAUCGCUCAGCAAGUGUGGGAAAGUGUGAUUGAGCUCACUUAUGGUGGGGCUUAAGUUAAGGCCUACCAAGUGAAAUGGUUAAGGUCAAGUAUCAUUUUUAAAUAGUUGGUCAUAAUUUUAUUAGCAGUUACUAGGUAUAAGUAAAUAUCAUCCUAAUUAAAUAAUUGAUCAUAAUGAAUAAUAAAUACCACAAUGCAAUGCAUGACAGAUUAAAUUUAGUUUCAUAAUUUAAUUAUGCGAGAGUCUUGAGUCGCUCUUGAUCGUGAGCACAACUGAUAUACCAGUUUUACAGUCUCUAGAGUUUGUGUCCUUUACCCACAAGUCGUGUAUCCCGUUUAACCAGGUUUACAAUGCCCUUAGACACUUUUGAGGCGAAUGGCUAGAAAUCCACUACGAGGCCUUUAGAAAGUUCUACUAGUUUGAGAAAACCUGCUAUGGUUUCUACGAGAAGGGGGCGAUAUAGGAAUCCCUCGUCCGAAAAGUCAUCAUAACAUGAUCGAUCCGAGAACCUGCCUAUACUGACAGCUCCUCACACCACCCUUGCUCCUUUUAGGUAAGAUAGUCCCUCACUAGCUUUCCUAAUUAGUCAGCAAAGGACAUCCCAUUCCACCCUUGUGUUAGAACUGUUUUCUCAGGUUAAGCUCCAUGUUCCAAUUAACAAAAUAAUCUUAUCAUGAACAAUAAAGAAUCAUUGACAACAAUAAUAGAUCAUGAUCAUAAUUCAAUUAUAGCAUUAAUCAUAAAACCAGGUAGAGCAAUAACAAGACUACCCAAUAAUUUAUGCAAGGUGUAGGGUAAACAAAAUUAGGUAACCUAUUACUGAAAGUUCCCUAUGCCCGGGAACAGGAUCUGGAUGUCGCCUAGAGGGGAGGGGGUGAAUAGGAGAAUAAUAAUUAUCACUUUAAAACUGGAAAUUCUUACUCUAAUCGAAGGCUGGAUCGCAGUGGAAUGAAAGACCCUUCGAAUAGGUUGCAGUGGAAUUGAAGUCCUGUCUUAAAGUACCCUGCACUUUGAAGACAGCUUGUACCACAUAUAAGUAUUGAAGUGCAAGUAUAAAUAGCAAAUAAGACAGAGAAACAACACACAACACAGAGCAGAGCACGCAGACACAGAGAUUUAUCCUGAGGUUCGGCCAAGCCUGAAAUGCUUGCCUAGUCCUCGUUGGAGUUAGCCACACCUUGGCUUGGAGUCUAUUUCAACUCCUUCCUCCGUUUGCUUAGAUCUGUCAGUGCAACAGAUAGAGCCUUCCACUAUGUUGAUAUCAGUUACAACGAUGUCGUGGCUGCUUACAAUCUUCUCGACAGCACUCCGGCAGAGUAACAAUGCGCUCAAGAUUUUGCUCUAGCUCUCAGCAGCACUUCCCCUCUCUCUAAAGGCUGAUAACUUCGUCUCUACACAAACCAGAGAGAUACACAAGAGAGGGAGAGAGAAUUGAUCCAAAUGAUGUAUAGACUUGUUGGCUGCUCUUGUGUAUUUGUUGGAGGCGCCUAGGGGUCCCUUUUAUAGUCCCAAAGGGCCUAGGAGCCGCUGGACCUCCAUUUGGUAGGCGCACCGGACAGUCCGGUGCACCACCGGACAUGAACAGUCCCUGUCCGGUGCCCGAUCUCCUUCCUUUUCUGUCGAAGCCGAACGUUGAGCCUUUGGUCCCCUUGGCGCACUGGACAGUCUAGUGCAUACCGGACAGUCCGAUGCGACCAAGUGACCGUUGGCUCGGCCACGUGUCGCCCGUUGAUCGCGCUGUCGACCGUUGGCCACGGGCACCGUUGGCUCACCGGACAGUCCGGUGCACCACCGGACAAUCCGGUGAUUUUUAGCCAUGGUGCCCUCACCAAUUCCCGAGAGCAGCGAGUUCGCUGCUAGACCAGCCUGUGCACCGGACACUGUCCGGUGCACCAAGAGUUGGUGCAAGUUUGGCUGCUCUUAGCCAAAACUUCUCCAAUCCAAUUUUCUUUGUUUUAACAAGGUUCCUAGCACUUGGAGAAUAUAUGUUAUUUCCAAAAACAAUUCACUAAGGCCAGAGACAUACCUUGAUUCUUUGAUUUGCAUUUCCCAACCACUUAGCACAUAUUGAUUACAAUGACAUGUGUUGGACAUCUAAAUUAUCAAGUCAACUUGACUUGAUCUAGAUUGACAUAUAUGAGGUCCAACACCCUGCUAAGGUCACAUAGAAUAUAUCCAAACAUAGUAACAACCCAAACUAAAAAUCAAAGUGAACUUAGCUCUUUUGGGCUACUUCCAGUUCUGGUUUAGACACUGCUCCUCCUUCUAGUGACCUUGUUCAGUUCUUGAGCUUGAUCUUGAGCCUUAUGACUUACACCACAUAUCUGUAGAUGUCACCUCACUGGUUGUAAGUCAUGUCCUUAUGUAGUGAUCCUUGAUGUGUCAUAACUCUUCUUACCUCGAUCAACCUUGACUUUGCAAGUCUUCUUCUUCACCCCUGGCUUUGGGUUCCUCAGCCUCUGACUUUCUCCCAUGCACUCGGUACCUCGAAGCUUUUCUUGCCUCCAUCCUUGGCUUGAUCAGUUGUCUCUGAGUUAUGCACACCGAGUCUCACUUAUGCAAUGUCCAUCUUACUUGUGAUGUCCAUUAUCUAUAGAUAUUCCAGUCUUUGGACCAUCACACUUGUUCAUUUAUAUUGAACCUUGUAAGCUUUGCAUUAAGCACCUGUUCAACACUUAGAACACAUGUUAGUCCUUUAAUUGGGUUGUCAUCCAAACCACCAAAACCCACAAGAGAGCUUUCAAUCUCUCCCUUUUUGGUGAUUGAUUGCAACACAAUUAAAGUUUACACAAGAAUAAGAUUUAAAACACAAAUUUUGAAUUCUAAGUUCAUAGAAUGCUCCCCCUAAAUAUGUGCUUACAUUAAAAUCUUAACUUUGGUCUUAUAUACCAAAAUGCACGUACUUAGGCUAAUUUGAAGCAUUGCUACACCUUAGCACCUGUGGGAUGCAUUGUGUCAAUAAUUAAACCGUGAUGCGUAUAACACACAAAUGCACAGAAUCAGAGUUAAACACCAAUUAAAUGGAUAUACCACAGGAAUAUCAACCUACCACUAUUCACCAUUAAGAUACCAAUUUAAAGCAACAAAACCACAUGAAUAUCUAUUACAGGACAAACACUAUAUACCAAUUGAUUCAUAUCAACGGAAGCACUAAUUAUCCAUUAUCACCAUAUAAUACAACAAGAAGCAUAUGAUUAGUAUUAUCAACAAAAGGAACUCAAGGAAACCCCUUUGAGUCCUUUAGCACACAAAAAAAAUUAUUCUUCACCCUUAAGAUAAGCAUUCCUCUCAGGUCGAGGUAAGCUUUAAUGCACAAAUUCUUCCCCUUUGACAUUAAACACCAAAACCAUAUUCAAACAGGAACAUAGAAUGAUGUCAAGGGACAUCAGGGUAUUAAGCAGGGAAAAUGCAGCACACUAACAUUAUCCCCCUUACACAUUAAACAUAUGCAACACAAGCAUUGGAGGAAAAUUAAGGUGUUCCAAAUAGGCUCUUUGACUGCUAGGGUUCGACGAUUCGAUUCUCCCAUCUGUUAAACAUAUACAUAUCCUUUGUGAUUAUCCAUCCCAUUAUUUACUUUUGUUUGAUGCUAUUUUAGUUUUGUUAUAUUUUCUGUCGAUUUCUAAAUGUGUGGUCAUCAUGCAACCUAUGUUUUGUUUGUGGAUCAAUAUUUUGCAGAUAGGAUUUGUCAACAUCCCUAUUUUCAGCAGCACUCCUAUCACACUUUUUAUUUUAAACUUCACCGUGUGCAACGAUCUACUAGAGAUUCUUUAUAUUUUGUCGCAAUCUCUUCCCUUCAGAUCGCAGUACCUUGCAGUUGUAGUGGCAGCUGCCGGCUGUAGGCACAGUUCUACCUUUACCUAUGUGUCGGGGACCAUAAUUAGGGGUACCCUCAAGGCGCCUAAUUCUCAGCUGGUAACCCCCAUCAGCAUAAAGCUGCAGAGGCCUGAUGGGUGCGAUUAAGUCAGGGAUCAGUCCAUACGAGCGACUCGAUCACGCCUCGCCCGAGCCUAGCCUCGGACAAGGGCAGCCGACCCCGAGGGAUUUCCGUCUCGCCCGAGGCCCCCCUCCAACGGCGGACACAUCUCCGGCUCGCCCGAGGCCUUGCCUUCGCUAAGAAGCAACCCUGACUAAAUUGCCGCGCCGACCGACCGAGUCGCAGGAGCAUUUAACGCAAAGGUGGCCUGACACCUUUAUCCUGACGCGCGCGCCCCGGCAGAGCCGAAGUGACCGCCGUCACUUCGCCGCUCCACUGACCGGUCUGACAGAAGGACAGCGCCGCCUGCGCCACUCCGACUGCAGUGCCACUUGACAGAGUGAGACUAACAGGCAGUCAGGCCCUGCCAAAGGCACCAUAGGAAGCUCCGCCCGACCCAGGGCUCGGACUCGGGCUAAGCCCCGGAAGACGGCGAACUCUGCUCCGCCCGACCCAGGGCUCGGACUCGGGCUAAGCCCCGGAAGACGGCGAACUCCGCUCCGCCCGACCCAGGGCUCGGACUCGGGCUAAGCCCCAGAAGACGGCGAACUCCGCUCCGCCCGACCCAGGGCUCGGACUCGGGCUAAGCCCCGGAAGACGGCGAACUCCGCUCCGCCCGACCCAGGGCUCGGACUCGGGCUAAGCCCCGGAAGACGGCGAACUCCGCUCCGCCCGACCCAGGGCUCGGACUCGGGCAAAGCCCCGGAAGACGGCGGACUCCGCUCCGCCCGACCCAAGGCUCGGACUCGGGCUCAGCCCCAGAAGACGAUGAACUCCGCUUCGCCUGACCCCAGGGCUCGGACUCCGCCUUGGCCUCUGCCGAACGACCUCCGCCUCGCCCGACCCAGGGGCUCGGACUCGGCCUCGGCCAUGGAAGACAGACUCGACCUCGGCUUUGGAGGAGCCUCCACGUCGCCCGACCUAGGGCGCAGGCCAGCCACGUCAACAGGAAGCGCCAUCAUCACCCUACCCCGAGCCGACUCGGGCCGCAGAGAACAAGACCGGUGUCCCAUCUGGCUAGCUCCGCCAGAUAGGCAAUGAUGGCGCCCCGCAAGCCCUGUGACGAUGGCGACUCUCAGCUCUCUUACGGAAGCAGGAGGACGUCAGCAAGGACUCAACCGCUUCGACAGCUGUCCCUCCGCCAGGCUCCGUUGCUCCUCCGACAGCCACGACAUCACACCAGCUGGGUGCCAAGAUCUCUUCGGCUGCCACAUCGGCAUGUACUUAGGGCGCUAGCUCUCCCCCGCUAGACACGUAGCACUCUGCUACACCCCCAUUGUACACCUGGAUCCUCUCCUUACGCCUAUAAAAGGAAGGACCAGGGCCUUCUUAGAGAAGGUUGGCCGCGCGGGGGCGAGGACGAGACAGGCGCUCUCUUGGGGCCGCUCGCUUCCCUCACCCGCGUGGACGCUUGUAACCCCCUACUGCAAGCGCAACCGACCUGGGCGCGGGACGAACACGAAGGCCGCGGGAUUUCCACCUCUCUCACGCCCGUCUCCGGCCACCUCGCUUCCCCCCUUCGCGCUCGCCCACGCGCUCGACCCAUCUGGGCUGGGGCACGCGGCACAUUCACUCGUCGGCUUAGGGACCCCCCGGUCUCGAAACGCCGACAGUUGGCGCGCCAGGUAGGGGCCUGCUGCGUGUUGACGAACAGCUUCCCGUCAAGCUCCAGAUGGGUAGUCUCCAGCAACCUCUCCGGCCCGGGACGCUGCUCCGUUUCGGGAGUCUUGAGUUCAUGUCCUUCGACGGCAGCUACGACAUGAUACUCCUUCCACCGCCGCGCGACAACGACAAUGGCGGCCGACAACCCGCCCGCCGGCGGCGGAAUCGACGACAUCUUCCCCGCGUGGCGGAAGAACAACAUUCGAGCUCACCCCGUCCUCUCCCCCGCCAACGGAGGAGGAGGCGGGGCAACCAAGGCCAAGCGGGAGGCCACGCUUCGUCGGCUGUCGAGCGAAUCGACGUCCCCAGCGCCUCAACGGGGGGCGCGUCGGGCGUCGACCUCGCGUUUGAGACGAAGGCGAGCGCCGUCCCCCCGCGACACGCCAAUCCCGAGCAAGUGGACGACGCCAGCGCGCUCGCGGAGAGCUUGCAGGACGUCGCCCUCGUACCUGAGACGACGGUGCAACCAGUCCCCGACGUGACUAUGUCGCUGCUCGUCGACCAAAAGGUACCGACCGAUUCCCAUCCUACGUCAUUUUGACUCAGCCUCAACCCGCCUAGCGACCUCGCUUUGGCGGGCGCUCUCGUUGAGGCGAGUGCAACCCCUCUGGGGUUUCGUAUGCGGUCACCUUGGGACCGAUUGACGGACGUCUCGACCUACGGGCCCUCUGGGUCCGAGGAAGAUGACGAUCCCAGCAUCUGUUGGGAUUUCUCUGGAUUUGGCAACCCCAGUGCCAUGCGGGACUUUAUGACCGCAUGUGACUACUGCCUCUCCGACUGUUCCGACGGUAGCCGCAGCCUCGACGACGAGGACUGCGGCCCAAGCCGCGAAUGUUUCCACGUCGAGCUAGGGGAUCCCUCCAAAGGCAACCAUCUCGGCAUGCCGGAGGACGGUGAUCUCCCUAGGCUGGUGCCUCGCGCUGACAUCCCGCGGGAGCAAGCUGUGGUCCCCGUUCCGGCGGGGGGUCACGACCCACAGCUCGAGCAAGUCCGCGGGGCGCGGGCCAGGCUCGACGAGGGAGCAGGAGCGCUUGAGCCGAUCCGCCGGGACGUCGGGCAGGUAUGGGCGGGCCAACCCCCGGCCGGAGAAAUACGUCACCUGCCCCAGGAUUUCCAGCACCGCGUCGCCAACGACGUCAGGGUCAGGCCGCCACCCGCAUCCAGUGGGGUUGGUCAGAACCUGGCAGCCGCAGCGAUGCUCCUCCGCGCGAUGACGGAGCCAUCAACCACCGAGGGUCGGCGAAUCCAGGGAGAGCUCAAGAAUCUCCUGGAAGGCGCUGCGGUCCGACGGGCCGAGAGCUCUGCCUCCCGAAGGCAGGGAUACCCCUCGGAGCCUCAUGCCGCGACUUCCCGAUUCAUGCGGGAAGCCUCGGUCUACACCGGGCGCACGCGCAACACCGCGCCUGCGGCCCCGGGCCACCUCGGCAACGAGCACCAUCGUCACGACCGUCGGGCCCACCUCGACGAAAGGGUGCGCCGAGGCUACCACCCCAGGCGUGGGGGACGCUACGACAGCGGGGAGGAUCGGAGUCCCUCGCCCGAACCACCCGGUCCGCAGGCCUUCAGUCGGGCCAUCCGACGGGCGCCGUUCCCGACCCGGUUCCGACCCCCGACUACUAUCACAAAGUACUCGGGGGAAACGAGACUGGAACUGUGGCUCGCGGACUACCGCCUGGCCUGCCAACUGGGUGGAACGGACGACGACAACCUCAUCAUCAGCAACCUCCCCCUGUUCCUCUCCGACACUGCUCGCGCCUGGUUGGAGCACCUGCCUCCGAGGCAGAUCUCCAACUGGGAUGACUUGGUCCAAGCCUUCGCCGGCAAUUUCCAGGGCACGUACGUGCGCCCCGGGAAUUCCUGGGACCUCCGAAGCUGCCGGCAGCAGCCGGGAGAGUCUCUCCGGGACUACAUCCGGCGAUUCUCGAAGCAGCGCACCGAGCUGCCCAACAUCACCGACUCGGAUGUCAUCGGCGCGUUCCUUGCCGGCACCACCUGCCGCGACCUGGUGAGUAAGUUGGGUCGCAAGACCCCCACCAGGGCGAGCGAGCUGAUGGACAUCGCCACCAAAUUCGCCUCUGGCCAGGAGGCGGUCGAGGCUAUCUUCCGAAAGGACAAGCAGCCCCAGGGCCGCCCAUCGGAAGAUGCUCCCGAGGCGUCUACUCCACGCGGCGCCAAGAAGAAAGGCAAGAAGAAGUCGCAAGCGAAACGCGACACCACCGACGCGGACCUUGUCGCCGCCGCCGAGUACAAGAACCCUCGGAAGCCCCCCGGAGGUGCUAACCUCUUCGACAAGAUGCUCAAGGAGCCGUGCCCCUAUCAUCAGGGGCCCGUCAAGCACACCCUCGAGGAGUGCGUCAUGCUUCGGCACCACUUCCACAGGGUCGGGCCACCCGCAGAGGGUGGCAGGGCCCGCGACGACGACAAGAAGGAAGAUCACCAAGCAGGAGAGUUCCCCGAGGUCCGCGACUGCUUCAUGAUCUACGGUGGGCAUGUGGCGAAUGCCUCGGCUCGGCAUCACAAGCGAGAGCGCCGGGGGGUCUGCUCGGUGAAGGUGGCGGCGCCAGUCUACCUAGACUGGUCCGACAAGCCCAUCACCUUCGACCAAGCUGACCACCCCGACCACGUGCCGAGCCCGGGGAAAUACCCGCUCGUCGUCGACCCCAUCGUCGGCGACGUCAGGCUCACCAAGGUCCUGAUGGACGGGGGCAGCUGCCUCAACAUCAUCUACGCCGAGACCCUCAGGCUCCUGCGCGUCGAUCUGUCCUCCGUCCGAGCAGGCGCUGUGCCCUUCCACGGGAUCAUUCCCGGGAAGCGCGUCCAGCCCCUCGGACGACUCGACCUUCCCGUCUGCUUCGGAACACCCUCCAACUUCCGAAGGGAGACUUUGACGUUCGAGGUGGUCGGGUUCCGAGGAACCUACCACGCGGUACUGGGGAGGCCAUGCUACGCGAAGUUCAUGGCCGUCCCCAACUACACCUACCUGAAGCUCAAGAUGCCGGGCCCCAACGGGGUCAUCACCGUCGGCCCCACGUACAAACACGCGUUCGAAUGCGACGUGGAGUGCGUGGAGUACGCCGAGGCCCUCGCCGAGUCCGAGGCCCUCGUCGCCGACCUGGAAAGCCUCUCCAAAGAGGUGCCAGACGUGAAGCGUCAUGCCGGCAACUUCGAGCCAGCGGAGACGGUUAAGGCCGUCCCCCUCGACCCCGGCGGCGACACCUCCAAGCAGAUCCGGAUCGGUUCCGGGCUCGACCCCAAAUAGGAAGCAGUGCUCGUCGACUUUCUCCGCGCAAACGCCGACGUCUUUGCGUGGAGUCCCUCGAACAUGCCCGGCAUACCGAGGGAUGUCGCCGAGCACUCGCUGGAUAUUCGGGCCGGAGCCCGACCCGUCAGGCAGCCUCUGCGCCGAUUCGACGAGGAGAAGCGCAGAGUGAUAGGCGAGGAGAUCCACAAGCUAAUGGCAGCAGGGUUCAUCAAAGAGGUAUUCCAUCCCGAAUGGCUUGCCAACCCUAUGCUUGUGAGAAAGAAAGGGGGGAAAUGGCGGAUGUGUGUAGACUACACUGGUCUCAACAAAGCGUGUCCGAAGGUUCCCUACCCUCUGCCUCGCAUCGAUCAAAUCGUGGAUUCCACUGCUGGGUGCGAAACCCUGUCUUUCCUCGAUGCCUACUCAGGGUAUCACCAAAUCCGGAUGAAAGAGUCCGACCAGCUCGAGACUUCUUUCAUCACGCCCUUCGGCAUGUACUGCUAUGUCACCAUGCCGUUCGGAUUGAGGAAUGCGGGCGCGACGUACCAGCGGUGCAUGAACCAUGUGUUCGGCGAACACAUCGGUCGCAUAGUCGAGGCCUACGUUGAUGACAUCGUAGUCAAGACAAGGAAGGCUUCCGACCUCCUCUCCGACCUUGAAGUGACAUUCUGAUGUCUCAAAGCGAAAGGCGUCAAGCUCAAUCCCGAGAAGUGUGUAUUCGGGGUGCCCCGGGGCAUGCUCUUGGGGUUCAUCGUCUUCGAGCGGGGCAUCAAAGCCAACCCGGAGAAGAUCGCAGCUAUCACCAGCAUGGGGCCCAUCAAGGACUUAAAAGGUGUACAGAGGGUCAUGGGAUGUCUCGCGGCCCUGAGCCGCUUCAUCUCAUGCCUCGGCGAAAGAGGUCUGCCUCUGUACCGCCUCUUGAGGAAGGCCGAGUGUUUCGCUUGGACCCCUGAGGCCGAGGAAGCUCUCGGGAACCUGAAGGCGCUCCUCACAAAGGCGCCUAUCUUGGUGCCCCCAGCUGAUGGAGAAGCCCUCUUGGUCUACGUCGCCGCGACCACUCAGGUGGUUAGCGCCGCGAUUGUGGUCGAGAGGCAAGAAGAGGGGCAUGCAUUGCCCGUUCAGAGGCCAGUCUACUUCGUCAGCGAGGUACUCUCCGAGACCAAGAUCCGCUACCCACAAGUUCAGAAGCUGCUGUAUGCAGUGAUCCUGAUGAGGCGGAAGUUGCGACACUACUUCGAGUCUCAUCCGGUAACUGUGGUGUCAUCCUUCCCCCUGGGGGAGAUCAUCCAGUGCCGAGAGGCCUCGGGCAGGAUUGCAAAGUGGGCGGUGGAAAUCAUGGGCGAGACAAUCUCGUUCGCCCCUCGGAAGGCCAUCAAGUCCCAGGUAUUGGCGGACUUCGUAGCCGAAUGGGUCGACACCCAGCUGCCGACGGCUCCGAUCCAACCGGAGCUCUGGACCAUGUUUUUCGACGGGUCGCUGAUGAAGACGGGAGCCGGCGCGGGCCUGCUCUUCAUCUCGCCCCUCGGGAAACAUCUACGCUAUGUGCUACGCCUCCAUUUCCCGGCGUCCAACAAUGUGGCUGAGUACGAGGAUCUGGUCAACGGGUUGCGGAUCGCCAUCGAGCUAGGGGUCAGGCGCCUCGACGCCCGCGGCGACUCGCAGCUCGUCAUCGACCAAGUCAUGAAGAACUCCCACUGCCGCGACCCGAAGAUGGAGGCCUACUGCGAUGAGGUUCGGCGCCUGGAAGACAAGUUCUACGGGCUCGAGCUUAACCACAUCGCUCGGCGCUACAACGAGACGGCGGACGAGUUGGCAAAAAUAGCCUCGGGGCGAACGACGGUUCCCCCGGACGUCUUCUCCCAGGAUCUGCAUCAGCCCUCCGUCAAGAUCGACGACACGCCCGAGCCUGAGGCACCCUCGGUCCAGCUCGAGGUACCCUCGGCUCAGCCCGAGGCACCCUCAGCUCGGUCCGAGGCGCCCUCGGUUCAGCCCGAGGUACCCUCGGCCCCCGAGGGCGAGGCACUGCACGUCGAGGAGGAGCAGAGCGGGGCCACGCCUGAUCGAAAUUGGCAGACCCCGUACCUGCAAUAUCUCCGCCAAGGAGAGCUACCCCUCGACCAAGCCGAGGCUUGGCGGGUAGCGCGACGCGCCAAGUCGUUCGUCUUGCUGGGUGAUGAGAAGGAGCUCUACCACCGCAGCCCCUCGGGCAUCCUCCAGCGAUGCAUCUCCAUCGCCGAAGGUCAGGAACUCCUGCAAGAGAUACACUCGGGGGCUUGCGGCCAUCACGCAGCGCCUCGAGCCCUAGUCGGGAAUGCUUUCCGGCAAGGCUUCUACUGGCCAACGGCGGUGGCUGACGCCGCUAGAAUUGUCCGCACCUGCGAAGGGUGCCAAUUCUAUGCGAAGCAGACCCACCUGCCCGCUCAGGCUCUGCAGACGAUACCCAUCACCUGGCCCUUUGCUGUGUGGGGUCUGGACCUCGUCGAUCCCUUGCAGAAGGCGCCCGGGGGCUACACGCACCUGCUGGUCGCCAUCGACAAAUUCUCCAAGUGGAUCGAGGUCCGACCUCUGAACAGCAUCAGGUCCGAGCAGGCGGUGGCGUUCUUCACCAACAUCAUCCAUCGCUUCGGGGUCCCAAACUCCAUCAUCACCGACAACGGUACCCAGUUCACCGGCAGAAAAUUCUUGGACUUCUGCGAGGAUCACCACAUCCGGGUGGACUGGGCCGUUGUGGCUCAUCCCAUGUCGAAUGGGCAAGUAGAGCGUGCCAACGGCAUGAUUCUACAAGGGCUCAAGCCUCGGAUUUACAAUGACCUCAACAAGUUCGGCAAGAGAUGGAUGAAGGAACUCCCCUCGGUGGUCUGGAGCCUGAGGACAACGCCGAGCCGAGCCACGGGUUUCACGCCGUUCUUCCUGGUCUAUGGGGCCGAGGCCAUCUUGCCCACUGACCUGGAAUACGGCUCCCCGAGGACGAGGGCCUACAGCGAUCAAAGCAACCAAGUUAGCCGAGAAGACUCGCUGGACCAGCUGGACGAGGCUCGGGACAAGGCCUUACUACACUCGGCGCGGUACCAGCAGUCCCUGCGACGCUACCACGCCCGAGGGGUCCGGCCCCGAGACCUCCAGGUGGGCGACCUGGUGCUUCGGCUACGGCAAGACGCCCGAGGGAGGCACAAGCUCACGCCCCCCUGGGAGGGGCCAUUCGUCAUCGCCAAAGUUCCGAAGCCCGGAACGUACAAGCUGGCCAACAGCCAAGGCGAGGUCUACGGCAACGCUUGGAACAUCCAACAGCUACGUCGCUUCUACCCUUAAGAUGUUUUCAAGUUGUUCAUAUACCUCGCACCCACGCAAAGUUUAGUCAUCAAGGAAGGGUCGGCCUCGCCUCGGCAAAGCCCGACCCUCCCUCGGGGGCUAAAAGGGGGGAACCCCCUCUGCGUCGAAAUUGUCCUCGAAAAAAGAUCUCUGUUACCAGAAUAUCUUUCGUGCUUUUUGACUACCUCGAAAAGUGGAUCCUGAAAACGACGGAGUACACGUAAGCAGCCAAGGCUGACCGAGCCGAGGGACUCCUACGCCUCCGGGAUACGGAUACCUCACUCAUCACCUUCUGCGAUAAGUAACUCGCGUUCGGAUAAAGUGAUUCCGCGGACCGAACCAGUCUUUACGUUCGGAAGCUCUUCUGCCGAAGCGAUCCUUCGAGCCUUCUCGACUGAGUCAGUGACAGGCCCUCAUGGACGGGCGAAAGUACGCGUAAGCGGCAAGGCCGACUGAGCCGAGGGACUCCCACGCCUCCGGGAUACGGAUACCUCACUCAUCACCUUCCGCGAGAAGCAAUUCUCGCUCGCACAAACAUCCCUGUUACCGACAAAAAAGUCCAGAUACUCGAAAUAAGAGGAAAAGAGACGCAGCUUUACAACGCAGCGAGGGUGUGUGUUCUGGCCUCGGCGGCCGCAGAAGGCACACGCUACAAGACGAUCUGAUCCUGCAGGCUCGGGUCUUCACGCUGGAAGGGGGCUGUAGCACCCUCGGCAUCGACGACACCUUCAGCGAGGUCCGACCCAGCCUCGGACGGUGACGCGGUCCAGGGGCUUCUCCAGGAAUCCGGCCCGAGCAGGCGGCUCGGCCGGUUACCCCUGGGGCCUCGGCCAACCAUCUUCCAAGGGCGCCAGCCCGAUCCGAGGCCUCGGCUGAUCAACUCCGGCGUCGGUCCCGCUGACGGACAACCCGGCUAGGCUCCGGCCAACCAGGUUUUCAUUUUCGAGCCAACUCCGCCUCUGUUCGUGCUGAUAUCGCUACCCCUGGCCUCGGCUCGUCGAAGAGCGGCCAAGGGGUCUCUUUAACUAAGCUAGAGGAGCCUCAGACAACAGGGCCGAUCGAGCCGAGGGACUACUACGCCUCCGGGAUACGGAUACCUCACUCGUCACCUUGACACGGGGCGACUCAUGCUUGGUGAAGCGGUUCAGAUAAUCAACAGGCGAGUCUUAGUGCUCAAAAAUGAGGAAAAAACACGGCUCCGUGCCAAAAUUACAUACAUGUUCAGGCCUCGACAGCCACAAUGAACAAAAAACCCCUGGCAUCCAAAGUGCCAUUACAAAUGGAACUCCGGUUCCCCCUCCGCAGGUACGAACAACCCCACUCCAUGGGGGAAGGCCUGCGGAGCAACAGAAGACUGACGAGCGGCUCGCCGCCGCCCGCUCUGACUACAACGACAACGACCCCCGCUCCGGAUGGUCGAGCUGCAGCGGCGCAGGCCUCAGGGUGGGCGCUGCUGCAAUCUUGCCCUCGCCUACACCGACGCUCGAGGGGCGAGGACAAGUACGAAGAACCGGAGGCCCGAAGCGCGGAUGGUGGCGGUGAUCCCGUCGGUGACGGGGACUUCUCGAGCCGCCUCCGCCUCGGCACCGAUGGCAGGGGCCAUCAGCCCCCCGGCAGAUCCCCACUCAAAUCCUCCCGGGCGAGUGGGGCACCGACCUCCGCGUGAGGGCGCCAUCCCGGAGCAAAGGCAGGACCACCCCAGAACACGAACGCCGCCCUAGCAGCGCGCGACAUCUUGGGUGGUCGUCCCAUGCACACGGCGCGGCAGCCGCCCUCCGGCAGGAGGGGCCGCCGGGAGCCAAGCCGACAAGCCCGACACGCUGGAGGUGACGACGCCCACCGUCGACUAGCCCUGCGUUGUCGAAGUCCGGGCCGCCCGCAGGGCCAGUGAGCGCCCUCUCCCUCGAACGCCGCGGGAGAGGGUAACCCACGAACCCGCGCGGGAGGUAGAGCGCUGGCUCAGCCUGGCCCCCACCCCAGCGAGGAUGAUGAACAUCCUUGAAGCUGAGGGUGGGAACAAGAUCGCAGCCCGGCUUGCUUCUCCCCAUCCAGGAGCUGGAGGUCACCGUCUUGGGUGACCACCAGCGGAGGGGAGCAACCGGGCUGUGUGAUGAAAAUCCUUGAAGCCGAACGAUGGCUGAAAGGUACCAACUCCCACGGAGUUGCGUUCCUCCAAUGAUGAGGCGAAAAGACGGCGGGUAUCCCCCAUCCGGGGGCUUGGAAGGUGGAAAGACGCGAUGCAUAAGGGAGGGAGAAGACAUGGUCGCCUUCCGAAAGGGGUCGCCCUCCUUUUAAAGGCAGCUCUCCCUACGUGCGCCCCCAAACGUCACGGGCUGAGUCUUCUCCAACACGCACCAAGGCCCUCCCCUGCGGCGCGGGGGCUGGGUCCCGCAUGUCAUGCAAACCGGCUCAGAGCAGAAGAAUCCAAACCGCCGCGCGUGGUGCGCACAACCGCCCAACGGUUACAAGCGACCCCCCACUUUUGCCCAGACCAACGGGCGGAAGGGGCGGGCAGCCAUGCAGGCGGCAUGCAACCGCACCAGGUGGACGCGCUUCUCCGACUCCCAACGCGCCAGCAUGGAGGCCCAGGCCCACGCGUCACGCAACCGGCGCGCCGGAUGCUGCAUGCAAGCAACUGCACCGCCACUUGCGCUACCACCGCGCCUCUUCGGUUGCGGAACCAAUGCCGCGACUUGAGGCGACCCAGCGCACGACCCAGCAGCGCCAGCAUGGCGCGACGGUCAAUGCGGCCGAAAGUGGGCCGACAGUAAUGACGGUGGCAGGCGGGCGGGAGCAGUGGUCAUGUCGUCGGCCAGGCUCACGUCCCAUCCGGGGGCAGCAAGAGAACCCCCUCUCACGGCGUGAAGACAGGGCGCCCGUGAUCCGUUCCUCGAACGGCUCGCGCACGCGCAACGGCCGCCCUGCCAACCACUCGCCCCGUCGCAUUAACUCUGCGGCGGGACAGGCGGCGCUUCUGGCGGGAGAAGCGGGCGACGCUUCGCCUUCGCCGUAAUAACCGCGCCAAAAAAGGUACGCCACGUCGUUCGAUUUCGUAUCCUUUUCCUUUUUUUCCUCUUUCUCUAUCUCUUGCAACAGGGACCGGGAAAGGGGGAUACCCCGAAAAGGAUCCUUCCCUGUGAAGGAACCGGGCUCCGAGCCCCCCCCUACUGAUCAGAGGUUCGAAGGCUGGCCCCCCGAGGGGUUCAACAGCCGCCUCAGAUCGCGUGGGCCCUACACCCACUACUGGUCAGAGGUUCGAAGGCCGGCCCCCCGAAGGGCUCCACGGCUGCCUCAGGCUACUCGGGCUCCGCGCCCAUUACUGAUCAGGGGUUCGAAGGCUGGCCCCCGAAGGGUUCACAGUCGCCUUAGACGCCGAGCGAGGGAUGACCAGGGGUACGUUCGAUACAUAGCCGAGGCUCGGGCUACGCUCCCGAGGUACCCUAGGACAUUUCCGAGACCAGCGGGAGCGAUCUUGUAACGGAAUCCCAUCGGAGGGAGGCAUCGAGCCCUCGGACCCCGUCGCCAGGGGACCGGGUCCGACAGAUCACCCGCAGGUACUUUUGGGCGUGCCUCUGGGCCCCUAGCCGACCCCUAACGAACGGGGCACGGACGUCCACUCGGAUUACCCGCUUGCAGCUCACCGGAGACACCAUGUUCGAUGCCCAUCGAGGGUAACAUGGCGCUCUCCCCCCUCCUCCUUGCGGAAAGGCGACGUAGGGGCGUAUGUAAAAAAGCCGAGUCUGUCCCUGAUCGCCCUCUCGCCCUGUGCGGAAGCUCGGGGGCUGCUCUCGCAAACCUGGCUCCGGCCGAACCGUUGACAGCGUCAACAUACCAGCCCGAGAACUUGGGCCCCGACCGUGCACCCGGGCUACGGCCAGUUCGCAUGAGGGAACAACCAGACCAGCCGAAGCAUUGCGCAAGGCAUUAAGACCUCGAAGGAGUGAAACCACUCCUCCGAGGCCUCGGGGGCUACACCCGGCGGGUGCGCUCGCGCGCACCCGCCGGAACAAAAUGCAACCGAGAAAGGCUGGUCCCCUUGCAAAAAAGUGCGACGAAAGCCUCCAAGCAAGUGCUAACACUCCCUUCGAGGCUCGGGGGCUACUGUCGGGGACCAUAAUUAGGGGUACCCUCAAGGCGCCUAAUUCUCAGCUGGUAACCCCCAUCAGCAUAAAGCUGCAGAGGCCUGAUGGGUGCGAUUAAGUCAGGGAUCAGUCCAUACGAGCGACUCGAUCACGCCUCGCCCGAGCCUAGCCUCGGACAAGGGCAGCCGACCCCGAGGGAUUUCCGUCUCGCCCGAGGCCCCCCUCCAACGGCGGACACAUCUCCGGCUCGCCCGAGGCCUUGCCUUCGCUAAGAAGCAACCCUAACUAAAUCGCCGCGCCGACCGACCGAGUCGCAGGAGCAUUUAACGCAAAGGUGGCCUGACACCUUUAUCCUGACGCGCGCCCCCCGGCAGAGCCGAAGUGACCGCCGUCACUUCGCCGCUCCACUGACCGGUUUGACAGAAGGACAGCACCGCCUGCGCCACUCCGACUGCAGUGCCAGUUGACAGAGUGAGACUGACAGGCAGUCAGGUGCUGCCAAAGGCACCAUAGGAAGCUCUGCCCGACCCAGGGCUCGGACUCGGGCUAAGCCCCGGAAGACGGCGAACUCUGCUCCGCCUGACCAAGGGCUCGGACUCGGGCUAAGCCCCGGAAGACGGCGAACUCCGCUCCGCCCGACCCAGGGCUUGGACUCGGGCUAAGCCCCGGAAGACGGCGAACUCCGCUCCGCCCGACCCAGGGCUCGGACUCGGGCUAAGCCCCGGAUGACGGCGAACUCCGCUCCGCCCGACCCAGGGCUCGGACUCGGGCUAAGCCCCGGAAGACGGCGAACUCCGCUCCGCCCGACCCAGGGCUCGGACUCGGGCUAAGCCCCGGAAGACGGCGAACUCCGCCCCGCCUGACCCAGGGCUCGGACUCGGGCUAAGCCCCGGAAGACGGCGAACUCCGCUCCGCCCGACCCAGGGCUCUGACUCGGGCUAAGCCCCGGAAGACGGCGAACUCCGCUCCGCCCGACCCAGGGCUCGGACUCGGGCUCAGCCCCAGAAGACGACGAACUCCGCUUCGCCCGACCCCAGGGCUCGGACUCCGCCUUGGCCUCUGCCGAACGACCUCCGCCUCGCCAGACCCAGGGGCUCGGACUCGGCCUCGGCCAUGGAAGACAGACUCGACCUCGGCUUCGGAGGAGCCUCCACGUCGCCCGACCUAGGGCGCAGGCCAGCCACGUCAACAGGAAGCGCCAUCAUCACCCUACCCCGAGCCGACUCGGGCCGCAGAGAACAAGACCGGUGUCCCAUCUGGCUAGCUCCGCUAGAUAGGCAAUGAUGGCGCCCCGCAAGCCCUGUGACGACGGCGACUCUCAGCUCUCUUACGGGAGCAGGAGGACGUCAGCAAGGACUCAACCGCUCUGACAACUGUCCCUCCGCCAGGCUCCGUUGCUCCUCCGACAGCCACGACAUCACACCAGCUGGGUGCCAAGAUCUCUCCGGCUGCCACAUCGGCAUGUACUUAGGGCGCUAGCUCUCCCCCGCUAGACACGUAGCACUCUGCUACACCCCCAUUGUACACCUGGAUCCUCUCCUUACGCCUAUAAAAGGAAGGACCAGGGCCUUCUUAGAGAAGGUUGGCCGCGCGGGGGCGAGGACGAGACAGGCACUCUCUUGGGGCCGCUCGCUUCCCUCACCCGCGUGGACGCUUGUAACCCCCUACUGCAAGCGCACCUGACCUGGGCGCGGGACGAACACGAAGGCCGCGGGAUUUCCACCUCUCUCACGCCCGUCUUCGGCCACCUCGCUUCCCCCCUUCGCGCUCGCCCACGCGCUCGACCCAUCUGGGCUGGGGCACGUGGCACAUUCACUCGUCGGCUUAGGGACCCCCCGGUCUCGAAACGCCGACACUAUGUGUUCACAAUCUGACCCGAGCCAGCAAACUGCUAGUUGCUGAUGCAUGCUUGUCAUGCUUCUCCGCUCGCGCGGAGGCGUAAACAUAGAACAUUGUUGUUGGCUUCACCGCUUUACUGGACCACACUACACCUGCGACGUCGCGGCUGCAGGCGUCGAGGGCGGUGGGGAAUUUGGGGUCGAUUCGAAUCAUAUGACCCUAUCGAACCUGUUUAGGAGCAAGGAUAAUGGAGGAGGUGGAAAUGCCAAAAUCCCUUACCCGGAGGGCUUAUUUGGGAGCAAGAAUAUCGAAGAAGAUUAGAUGGACUGAAAUCCACUUGGUAUUUAAAAUUAAAUAGGAAGAAAUUUUUAACUCCUCUAAUCCCCUCCGAUAUAGGUCAGGUCCUCAAUCGUCUACAUUAUCCUUGCUACUAAAGGAGUCACUCGUGUCUGAGUCCUCACCUUGUGGCACAUCGAGGCCGGGCCGCUGCCGCCUGCCAGUCCGCCAACACCACAGCUGGUUUCGCCGGGCACACAAGCCAUCUAGCUGCAUCGGAUUCGAUCGGAGCUUUUUGUGCUUUAGCGCGGCUGCAGCUCAACUUACCCUCGCCUGCGGUCGCCGGGGAUCCAGCGGAAAGCGACGCCGGCACGUGCACUUUGCACCGCCCAGCCCAGGGGCCAUUCUGCUUCAGCAGCCGUCGUCGAUGCACCCGGCACACGGCCGUUGAUGGCCGUCGAGAAAGCCACGGACCGGAUCUAGAGACAGAGAUGGCCUUUUGACCCUGGAAAACGCAGCGCAAAUCCGCCACCUUUAAACUAAAAAAAACAAAAGAAGCUUCUUCACAGGCACAGUCCUACGCAGCCGUUGGAAGCUAAGAUCUGGAGGAGGAGGAGGAGGAGGAUGGUCUAGCUAGCAACUGUUUGCCCACAUUGCAUGUCUGGGGCCGGUGAGCGUAUGGAUUUGGAUUACACUAGGCAGUCCGUGUACUACGCCCGUAUAAACAUUUGAUGACCGGCCAAUUGAUGCGUGGGUAGCGUUAUCAUAAGACACCGGAGCACGGCAGAGCACACGCAAUUAGUAGGCGUGUGAAUUCUGUUUCGCUCGCUGUGGGCCACUGGGCCGGUCAUCAUUCUUCUCGGCUGUUUAUUGGCAUGCUCGAAAAGCAUAUGUAUGCACAGCUAGCUAGAGCCAAGAAGCGGACAAGCUAAUGUGUAUGGUUCAUCCAUUCAUGAGAUGGGUGUUGAUGGUGCUGGGCAGAUCAGGAAUGGCGUUGCACGGCACCAAAAAUCAAGACCAAAGAGGAAAAUAUGGUAGGAGCGGGACAAGAAAAAAGACUGUUCAGAGGAUCAAUAACCUGCUACAAUGACAGAAGGAAAAAAAAACAAUGGCAUGCCUUGCAAAUAACUUGAACAGCAGGGGCCAGUGGUAUCACGCUCACACAAGGAGCUGAAGUGCACGCCACCACUAUCCAUCCUGCUCCGGUGCUCCCACUCCCGGACUCCCCUCAGUCCCUCACUCCCACGCGCACGCAUAGGCAUAGCAAGCACCGCGCCCAGCCGGCCGCACCUCCGCUCCGCGCUCUCGCCCCGCCCACACAAUGCGCCGCGCUGCCGCGAUCCUCCUGUCCCUCGCCCUCGCAGCCGCCGCCACCACCACGGCGGCGGCGGCCGUGGCGAAGGCUCCCGUGCCGCCGCCGCCGCCGCCGCCGCCUCCGAACGUGACGGCGGAGAUGGCCAAGGGCGGGUGCAAGGCGUUCGCGGGCCUGAUCGCGGCGUCCCCCGACGCGUCGUCCACGUACCAGUCGGCCGUGGAGGGCGGCAUGACGGUGUUCUGCCCCUCCGACGACGCCGUGCGCGCCUUCCUGCCCAAGUACAGGAACCUGAGCGCGGACGGCAAGGCGGAGCUGCUGCUGUUCCACGCCGUGCCCGUGCACUACUCGCUGGGGAGCCUCAAGUCCAACAACGGGCCCAUGAACACGCUGGCCACCGACGGCGCCGCCAGGAACUUCAACUUCACGGUGCAGAACCGGGGCGACGUCGUCACCAUCGCCACGGCCGCCUCCGCGCCCGCGCGGGUCAAGUCCACGGCGCUGGACGAGGACCCGCUCGCCAUCUACGUCAUCAGCGCCGUGGUGGAGCCCGUGGAGCUCUUCAAGCCCGCGCCGGCGCCGGUGCCAGCGCCCGCCCCCGCCCCCGCUAGUGUCGCGGACGCGCCCAGGCCCGGCAAGGCCGCCGCGGGCCGGCGCCACCCGCCGCCCGCCGCGGCCGACGCGCCCGGCCCCGCCGCAGAGGACAACGCGGCUCCCGUGGACCAGAAGGACGCCAAGAAGAGCGCGGCCGCCGGCGCGCCGUGCGCUCUGUGGUGGCUCGCCGCCGCGCUGGCCGCGGCCUCAGCAUUGGCUUAGCGAUCGGUGUUGUUUGUGCCUUUAGUUUUUUCUUCCGGUGUUGAUCCAUUGGCGUGCGAUCGUGGUUUGUGAUGGCGUAUUUGCGAGGUUUGUGCUUUUUUUUUUCUCGAUCGGGAGAAAAUAGUGUAUGCCUGCUUCGGUUUAGAUGUUUCUUCUUGCCUUUUUUUUUCUAGUUCUACCUGUUACCACAACUAGAGUGAGGAUCAGCGCGUGUUUAUCAGGAGGUGUUUGUAUUUUUGGUUAUGAUGAUGACGGACGAGUGAGGUCGGGGCACUGAAUUGCUGCUCUGUCUGACGGCGACGAGCUUCUGGUGGUUUCCUUGUUAUCGUAGGUUAAAAUCGCUGGUAUGGUACGCCAAUUUCUAAUGUUCAUGGUCAAAUCUCACUAACGAAAUCUGACUUGCUACGGCCUUCAUCGGAGCGCAUAAACAAAUGCAUCGCCGGAUCUCCGAAGCGAGUGCCGCCCCUACGCAUUCAUUUCUUGCGCCCCCAGUUGUCGGUGGAUGCCAUUCAUUCGACACUCAUCGCAGGUCAAACAACCCGAGCCACACACCACAAAAGUAUACUACGCCUAUACUACUGCCAAUAAAAGACAAGUGGAGUGUGGCAGUAAUAAAAACAAGGCCCAAGUGUUGGCUCAGAGUACCAGAGCCCUGGAGCCUGGAGGGCUGACGCAGCACUGCGGAACCGUGAGCUCCACGGGGCUUCUAUUCUUGGCGCCGAUCAUGUGCGAUGGAGCACGAAAGCGAGCAGUGCGCCACCGACGAAACGGUGGGCCUCUGACGCUGGCACCGCCCGCCCACUGCGUCAUCCUCCCUGCAUAGCCCAAACAUCUUUUGGUGCUGGAAAGUACUUUGCACCGUCGGCCAUCGAUCAGUCCACGCAACGCCACUACGCCAGUAUCAUCUCUCGUGUCAGUGCCACAAGACGAUCGGUCAGACGGUCACUGCUGCGACCCCACUCCUUGGCCCUUCACUGGUGUCCUAUUAGGAACGCCUCCGACGACCUCGAUGGCCUAGCAAAUCCAAUGUCUGCUGUAACGUCGGGUCACUAACGUGCGGAACGGAACCAGAUCUAUACCAGUCUCAUAAAUCAGUGACUCAUCUGUCGUAACGUCUAGGGAUGUUAUGGUACAGGAUCAAGUCGAGGGGGAGGGGAGCACCUGAAUAGGGCACUUGGUUAUUAACCUCUUCAAGCUUUGUCGGGUACCCAGUAAUGGGAUACCCAAGGCCAGACUCAUAAGCCUCUCUGGCUCAUUUAUCGACAAAAUCCCCACCAAGCGAGUCUACGAGGUAGGACGAACGAUCAAGUCUCCGUCGAGCAAGUCUGCAAGGUGGGGCGAACGACUAAGUCUUCGCCGAGCGAUUUUACGAAGCGGGAUGAACGACCAAGUCUUUGCUGAGCAAGUCUGUGAGCCGGAGUGAAUGACCAAGUGCCCGCCAAGCAGAUCCACAAGAAAGGAACACAGGCCGACGCUAUCAGCCCACGGCAGCCGCAACAAGACACAACAGUGCCAAGCCACGUCCGAACCAUACAUACAGUACCAAAUGGUCUUUGGCGGACGCGACGUGACACCGCCGUAUGCGCCCACGAGUAUAACCUCACUGACUCAUGGGGCCAAUCAAACUAGGUCAUACGGGCCUUAGCACCAGAGUCUCUACAGUGACACACGCAUACCCGAAGGAACGCAACAGGUACACCAUACCGGGGUGUAUGUCUACGCACGCUAGGGGGUGACACAAGCCCAUGACAACAGGUAGAACCACGCCACACACGACCACUCCGUGGGAGUGACUCGAAGGACCCCGCUCACUACUGUGGAGGUGUUAGCAAUAGACUAGCUACAGGGGUCGUAUGACAAUUGACAAACGAGCGAGACAAUACGCCAUACCAAGAGCACGACUACGCACGACCCUAUGGAGAACACACACGACGACUCGGAGAAGCCUCUCUCUCCCUCCUCUCUCUCUCUCUCUCUCUCUCGUAGAAGACAGAUCUCCAUUGUAAGGUCCAACCCUUGAAUUAUAAAAGGGCCUGGCCCAAUUUUCUAUAGGGACACAAGCACAAAUGUUGUAACAUGUCUCAAAGUAAUACUACGAUCAACACUACACUAGACUAGGGCGAAAGCCUGAACCAUUAUUAUCCCAGUGUCUUAGUUCCUCGCUCGGAUCCCCGUGAUGGACCAUUCGGAGUGAGUCCGCACUUGCAUCCCCCACCGAGCACAAAUCUAUUAUCGCAUCCUCGCAAACGGAGCCACUCUCUAAUGGCAACAGAAGGAGCUUGACUCACUCGUCGAGAGGCUCGACCGGGUUUACGAUAACAUUGAGAAGAGACGCCUCAAAACCAAAAGGCCCCAGGCGAGGAAUAUUUGCGACCAGAUCGCUGAAAACAGCAAUGGCACGCAGUACUUCGUCAAGCCCGGGCAAACGUGGCUGCGACGACCAUGAUGCUCCGAUCGAUCCUCGAGCUGGAUGAGAUCGAGGCAAAGACCGGGACCUUUGCAACUUGAUGGAGAGAGUCGCGGUACAGCAAGCUAAGGUCUGAAAGGGAAAUGUGCCCUUGGGUCAUUUCUAAGUAUUUUGGUGAUUUAAUGUCCAACACAAGUGCCUAAGUGUUAAAUGGUGGACAAAGUACAAAUCAAGUAUAAAGGUAUGUUUCUUAGACUUAGUAUAUUGUUUUAGAGACUAAUGUAUUGUGUCUAAGUGCUGGAAACAGGAAAAAUCAAGUUGAAAUUAAAGACGACUUUGUUCAGCCAAAGUCAGCUCUGUCAGGGUGCACCGGACUUUCCGGUGGUGCACCGGACAGUGUCCGGUGCGCCAGGCUGGCUCAGGUGAACUUGCUGCUCUCGGGAAGUAAUUAACGGCGUACGGCUAUAAUUCACCGGACUGUCUGGUGUGCACCGGACUGUCCGGUGAGCCAACGGGCGGCCGGGCCAACGGUCGGCCGCGCGAUCCGCGCGAGACACGUGGCCGAGCCAACGGUCGAAAGGAGGCACCGGAUUGUCCGGUGUGCACCGGAUUGUCCGGUGUGCACCGGACUGUCCGGUGCGCCAACGGCUCCAAAGCGCCAACGGUCGGCUUCGCCAAAGAAGGAAAGAAAUCCGCACCGGACAGUGUCCGGUGGUGCACCAGACUGUCCGGUGCGCCAGGCGACAGAAGGCAAGAAUUGCCUUCCUGGAAUGCACUCAUCGGCUCCUAGCUGCCUUGGGGCUAUAAAAGGGACCCCUAGGCGCAUGGAGGAGUACACCAAGCAUUCUCUAAGCAUUCCUAAGCACCAAGACUUCGAUUCCGCGCAUUCGAUUCUUUGCGAUAGCAAUUAGAGCUCCAUUUGAGUUGUGAACUCGCUGAGUGUGUUGUGAGCUCUUGUUGCGACUUGUGUGCGUGUUGGUACUCUAAUUUCGUGUCUUGUGUGUGUUGCUCAUCCCUUCCUUACUCCGUGCUUCUUUGUGAACAUCAAAGUGUAAGGGCGAGAGGCUUUAAGUUGUGGAGAGUCCUCGCAAUCGGGAUAUAGAAAAGCAAAGCAAAACACCGUGGUAUUCAAGUUGGUCUUUGGACCAUUUGAGAGGGGUUGAUUGCAACCCUCGUCCGUUGGGACGCCACAACGUGGAGUAGGCAAGUGUUGACUUGGCCGAACCACGGGAUAAACCACUGUGCCAUCUCUGUGUUGAUCUCUUUGUGGUUUUCGUGUUGUGCAAGCUCUCCUCUCUAGCCACUUGGCUUAACUGUGCUAACUCCUAAUCAAGUUUUGUGGAUUAAGUUUUAAGUUUUCACAGGAUCACCUAUUCACCCCCCCUCUAGGUGCUCUCAAUUGGUAUCAGAGCAGUUCUCUUCAAGAAAGGGACUAAUCGCCCGAAGAGAUGGAUCCUAAGGGCAAGGGGAUGGUGGUCAACGAUAAGGAGAAGGAGUCCUUUGUCAAUGAUCCAAAGGAGGACAAGCCCACUGACUCGGGCUCGAGCCACAAAAGAAGAGAUGGGAGGAAGAAGAAAACAAGGCGCAUCAAGGAGAUCGUCUACUAUGACGACAGCGAUGAAUCCUCUUCUUCCCAAAAGGACGACGACAACGACUAUGAGAAAAAGAAGACGGUUAACUCAAACUUCUCUUUCGAUUAUUCUCGUAUUCCACAUAGCUCAAAUGCACAUUUGCUUUCCAUUCUACUUGGUAAACCUCCUCAUUUUGAUGGAGAGGACUACGGAUUUUGGAGUCACAAAAUGCGUAGUCACUUGUUCUCUCUCCGUCCGAGUAUAUGGGAGAUAGUAGAGAGUGGGAUGAAAUUUGAUAGCUCGGAUAGUCAUUUAUUUAUAAAUGAGCAGAUUCAUAAAAAUGCACAAGCUACUACUGUGUUGUUAGCCUCAUUGUGCAAGGACGAGUAUCAUAAGGUGAGCGGCUUGGACAAUGCCAAGCAGAUCUGGGACACCCUCAAGAUCUCACAUGAGGGGAACGACGUCACCAUGCUCACCAAAAUGGAGUUGGUGGAAGGCGAACUCGGUAGAUUCACGAUGAUAAGAGGGGAGGAGCCAACACAGACAUACAACAGGCUCAAGACCCUCGUCAACAAGAUAAGGAGCUAUGGAAGCACGCGAUGGACGGACCACGACGUUGUCCGACUAAUGCUAAGGUCCUUUACCGUCCUUGAUCCACAUCUUGUGAACAAUAUUCGUGAGAAUCCUAGGUACACGAAGAUGACGCCCGAGGAGAUUCUUGGAAAGUUCGUAAGCGGGCGGAUGAUGAUCAAGGAGGCUAGGUACGUCGACGAUGCAUUAAAUGGCCCAAUCCAAGAGCAUCAAACUAUAGCUCUCAAGCAACAAGGAGCAAGGAGGCGCUACCUAGCAAGGUGGCGCAAGUUGAGGCGGCCGGGCUUAAUGAAGAAGAGAUGGCCCUCAUCAUCAAGAGAUUCAAGACGGCACUAAAGGGUCGCAAGGAGCACCCCAACAAGAACAAGACAAAGGGGAAGCGCUCUUGCUUCAAAUGUGGUAAGAUUGGUCAUUUUAUCGCUAAUUGUCCCGAUAAUGAUAGUGACCAGGAAAAGAAGAGCGGAAAGUGGGAGAAGAAGAAAAACUACAAGAAGGCGAAGGGCGAGACACAUCUUGGAAAGGAGUGGGAUUCGGAUUGCUCCUCAUCCGACUCCGACAACGAAGGACUCGCCGCCACCGCCUUCAACAAGUCAUCCCUCUUCCCCAACGAGCAUCACACUUGCAUCAUGGCAAGGGAAAAGAAGGUAAGCACUCGUAAUGCUAGUACUUAUGCUUCUUCAAGUGAGGAUGAGUCUAGUGAUGAUGAUGAAAUAGAUUAUUCAUGCUUAUUCAAGGGCCUAGAUAGAACCAAGGUUGACAAAAGUAAUGAAUUAAUUGAUGCCUUAAAUGAUAAGAAUAGGUUAUUAGAAAAGCAAGAGGAUCUUUUGUAUGAAGAGCAUGAUAAAUUUGUUAGUGCACAAAAUUCUCUUGCUCUAGAAAUUAAAAGGAAUGAAAUGCUUGCUUGUGAACUAUCUACUUGUCAUGAAACCAUUUCUACUUUAAAAGGUGCUAAUAAUGAUUUAAAUGCUAAACUAGAAAUAGCAAACAAAUCUAACUCUUGUGUAGAACAUGUUAAGAUUUGCAAUAGGUGCAAAGAUUUUAAUGUUGAUGCCUGUAGUGAACACCUAGUUUGCAUCUCUAAAUUAAAUGAUGAAGUGGCUAGUCUUAAUGCCCAACUUAAGACUAGCAAGAGUGAUUUUGAUAAACUAAAAUUUGCUAGGGAUGCCUACACGGUUGGUAGACACCCCUCAAUUAAGGAUGGGCUUGGCUUCAAGAGGGAAGCCAAGAACUUGACAAGCCAUAAGGCUCCCAUCUCCAUCAAGGCGAAAGGGAAGGCCCCUAUGGCUAGUAGUGCUCAUAAGAACCAUGCUUUCAUGUAUCAUGAUAGGAGACAUUCUAGGAAUGCUUUUAGAAGUUAUGAUGCUUUUGAUUCUCAUGCCAUGGUCGCUUCUAGCUCUUCUAUUAUGUGUGAUAGAAAUGUUGCUAGGAAAAAUGCUAUGCCUAGAAGAAAUAUUGUUCAUGCUCCUAGGAAAGUAAUGAAUGAACCUUCUACAAUUUAUUAUGCUUGCAAUGCUUCAUUUGCAAUUUGUAGAAAGGAUAGGAAGAUAGUUGCUAGAAAAUUAGGGGCAAAAUGUAAGGGAGACAAAACUUGCAUUUGGGUCCCUAAGACUAUUGUGACUAACCUUGUAGGACCCAACAAGAGUUGGGUACCUAAGACCCAAGCCUAAUUUGCCUUGCAGGUUUAUGCAUCCGGGGGCUCAAGCUGGAUUAUCGACAGCGGAUGCACAAACCACAUGACGGGGGAAAAGGGGUUGUUCUCUUCCUACGUCAAGAACAAGGAUCCCCAAGAUUCAAUCAUAUUCGGUGAUGGGAACCAAGGCAAGGUGAAAGGGUUAGGAAAAAUUGCUAUUUCGUCCGAGCACUCUAUUUCUAAUGUGUUUUUAGUUGAGUCGCUUGGAUAUAACUUGUUGUCUGUUAGUCAACUUUGCAAUAUGGGAUAUAACUGUUUAUUCACAAUGUAGAUGUGUCUGUCUUUAGAAGAAGUGAUGGUUCAUUAGCUUUUAAGGGUGUAUUAGACGACAAACUUUAUUUAGUUGAUUUUGCAAAAGAGGAGGCCGGUCUAGAUGCAUGCUUAAUUGCUAAGACUAGCAUGGGCUGGCUGUGGCAUCGACGCUUAGCACAUGUGGGGAUGAAGAACCUUCACAAGCUUCUAAAGGGAGAACACGUGAUAGGUCUAACUAAUGUUACUUUCGAAAAAGAUAGACCUUGUGCAGCUUGUCAAGCAGGGAAACAGGUGGGAAGCUCUCAUCAUGCCAAAAAUGUGAUGACAACAUCAAGACCCCUGGAGUUACUUCAUAUGGAUCUUUUCAGACUCGUCGCCUAUCCAAGCAUAGGAGGAAGUAAGUAUGGUCUUGUUAUAGUUGAUGAUUUUUCCCGCUUCACUUGGGUAUUCUUUUUGCAGGAUAAAUCUGAAACCCAAGGGAUCCUCAAGCGCUUCCUAAGGAGAGCUCAAAACGAGUUUGAGCUCAGGGUGAAGAAGAUAAGAAGCGACAAUGGGUCCGAGUUCAAGAACCUUCAAGUGGAGGAGUACCUUGAGGAGGAAGGGAUCAAGCACGAGUUCUCCGCUCCCUACACACCACAGCAAAAUGGUGUGGUAGAGAGGAAGAACAGGACGCUUAUAGACAUGGCGAGGACGAUGCUUGGAGAGUUCAAGACCCCCGAGCGCUUUUGGUCGGAAGCCGUGAACACGGCUUGCCACGCCAUCAACAGGGUCUACCUUCAUCGCCUCCUCAAGAAGACGUCAUACAAGCUACUAACCGGUAACAAACCCAAUGUUUCGUAUUUCCGAGUUUUUGGGAGUAAAUGCUACAUUUUAGUGAAGAAGGGUAGGAAUUCUAAAUUUGCUCCCAAAGCUGUAGAAGGGUUUUUGUUAGGUUAUGAUUCAAAUACAAAGGCGUAUAGGGUCUUCAACAAAUCAUCGGGUUUGGUUGAAGUCUCUAGCGACGUUGUAUUUGAUGAAACUAAUGGCUCUCCAAGAGAGCAAGUUGUUGAUCUUGAUGAUGUAGAUGAAGAAGAUGUUCCGACGAUCGCAAUUCGCACCAUGGUGAUUGGAGAUGUGCGACCACAGGAACAAAAUGAGCGAGAUCAACUUUCUUCCUCAACAAUGGUGCAUCCCCCAACUCAAGAAGAUGAACAGGUUCAUCAAAAGGAGACGUGUGAUCAAGGGGGAGCAAAAGAUGAUCUUUUAAUGGAGGAAGAAGCACAACCGGCACCUCCAACCCAAGUCCGAGCGAUGAUUCAAAGGGAUCAUCCCGUUGACCAAAUUUUGGGUGACAUUAGCAAGGGAGUAACUACUCGAUCUCGAUUAAUUAAUUUUUGUGAGCAUUACUCCUUUGUCUCUUCUAUUGAACCUUUCAGGGUAGAGGAGGCCUUGCUAGAUCCGGACUGGGUGUUGGCCAUGCAAGAGGAGCUCAACAACUUCAAGAGAAAUGAAGUUUGGACACUGGUGCCUCGUCCCAAGCAAAAUGUUGUGGGAACCAAGUGGGUGUUCCGCAACAAACAAGACAAGCACGGGGUGGUGACAAGGAACAAGGCACGACUUGUGGCAAAAGGUUAUGCCCAAGUCGCAGGUUUGGACUUUGAGGAGACCUUCGCUCCUGUGGCUAGGCUAGAGUCCAUUCGUAUUUUGCUAGCAUAUGCCGCUCACCAUUCUUUCAGGUUGUUCCAAAUGGAUGUGAAGAGCGCUUUCCUCAACGGGCCAAUCAAGGAGGAGGUGUACGUAGAGCAACCCCCUGGCUUCGAGGAUGAAUGGUACCCCGACCACUGAGGCAACUCAAGGAUGGGACCUUCAUCUCCCAAACGAAGUACACGCAAGACUUGAUCAAGCGGUUUGGGAUGAAGGAUGCCAAGCCCGCAAAGACUCCAAUGGGAACCGACGGACACACCGACCUCAACAAAGGAGGUAAGUCCGUUGAUCAAAAGGCAUACCGGUCUAUGAUAGGGUCUUUACUUUAUUUAUGUGCUAGUAGACCGGAUAUUAUGCUUAGUGUAUGCAUGUGUGCUAGAUUUCAAUCUGAUCCAAGGGAAUGCCACUUAGUGGCUGUGAAGCGAAUUCUUAGAUAUUUAGUCGCUACGCCUUGCUUCGGGAUCUGGUAUCCAAUGGGGUCUACCUUUGACUUGAUUGGAUAUUCAGACUCCGAUUAUGCUAGAUGUAAGGUCGAUAGGAAGAGUACAUCGGGGACGUGCCAAUUCUUAGGAAGGUCCCUGGUGUCAUGGAGUUCUAAGAAACAAACUUCCGUUGCCCUAUCCACCGCUGAGGCCGAGUACGUUGCCGCGGGACAGUGUUGCGCGCAACUACUUUGGAUGAGGCAAACCCUCAGGGACUUUGGCUACAAUCUGAGCAAAGUCCCACUCCUAUGUGAUAAUGAGAGUGCUAUCCGCAUGGCGGAUAAUCCUGUUGAACACAGCCGCACAAAGCACAUAGACAUCCGGCAUCACUUUUUGAGAGACCACCAGCAAAAGGGAGAUAUCGAAGUAUUUCAUGUUAGCUCCGAGAACCAGCUAGCCGAUAUCUUUACCAAGCCUUUAGAUGAGCAGACCUUUUGCAAGCUGCGUAGUGAGCUAAAUGUCUUAGAUUCGCGGAACUUGGAUUGAUUAAUAGCAUACAUGUUUUUAUGCCUUGAUCAUGUUCCUUAAUGCAUUUUGUUCUUUCUUUAUGGUGCUCAAGUUGUACAAGCACUCCCCGGACCUCACAAGUCCUUUGCAAGUGAUGCACAAAUUUAGGGGGAGAUGUGCUACAACUUGACCCUUUGAGACUAACUGUGUGCUUGAGUUUGCUUAAUUUAGUCUCAAAGGAGGAUUGAAAGGGAAAAGGUGGACUUGGACCAUGAAAGACUUCCACUGCACUCUGAUGAAAGAGUAACUUAUUCCAAGUUCAUCUCUAUACUCUUAUUACCUUUUUACUCUUAGUUGAAGAUUUUGGUGAGGCGAUGGGGUUAAAGGGCCAAAAUUGAUCCCGUUUUGGUGCUUGAUGCCAAAGGGGGAGAAAAUAAGGCCAAAGCAAUAAAUGGAUCAGCUACCACUUGUGAAUUUUGAAAAUAGUAGAGUUAGAGCUUUUGUUUGUCAAAAUACUCUUGUUUGCCUCUUAUUGUCAAAAGUUGGUCUCUUGUGGGGAGAAGGCUCAAUUAUGGGAAAAAGGGGGAGUUUUUGAAUCCUUGAUCAAUUUCUCGUGAAAUAUCUCUCUUUAUGUUUCAACAUGUGUGUUUGACUUAGAGAUAGAAAAUUGAGUUUGAUUUGCAAAAACAAACCAAGUGGUGGCAAAGAAUGAUCCAUAUAUGUCAAAUUUGAAUCAAAACAAUCUUGAGUUCUUAUUUGAAGUGAUUUUGCACUUGUUCUACUUGCUUUAUGUUGUGUUGGCAUAAAUCAUCAAAAAGGGGGAGAUUGAAAGGGAAAUGUGCCCUUGGGUCAUUUCUAAGUAUUUUGGUGAUUUAAUGUCCAACACAAGUGCCUAAGUGUUAAAUGGUGGACAAAGUACAAAUCAAGUAUAAAGGUAUGUUUCUUAGACUUAGUACAUUGUUUUUGAGACUAAUGUAUUGUGUCUAAGUGCUGGAAACAGGAAAAAUCAAGUUUAAAUUAAAGACGGCUUUGUUCAGCCAAAGUCAGCUCUGUCAGGGUGCACCGGACUGUCCGGUGGUGCACCGGACAGUGUCCGGUGGUGCAGGCUGGCUCAGGUGAACUUGCUGCUCUCGGGAAGUAAUUAACGGCGUACGGCUAUAAUUCACCGGACUGUGCGGUGUGCACCGGACUGUCCGGUGAGCCAACAGUCGACCGGGCCAACGGUCGGCCGCGCGAUCCGCGCGAGACACGUGGCCGAGCCAACGGUCGGAAGGAGGCACCGGACUGUCCGGUGUGCACCGGACAGUGUUUGGUGCGCCAACGGCUCCAAAGCGCCAACGGUCGGCUUCGCCAAAGAAGGAAAGAAAUCCGCACCGGACAGUGUCCGGUGGUGCACCGGACUGUCCGGUGCGCCAGGCGACAGAAGGCAAGAAUUGCCUUCCUGGAAUGCACUCAACGGCUCCUAGCUGCCUUGGGGCUAUAAAAGGGACCCCUAGGCGCAUGGAGGAGUACACCAAGCAUUCUCUAAGCAUUCCUAAGCACCAAGACUUCGAUUCCGCGCAUUCAAUUCUUUGCGAUAGCAAUUAGAGCUCCAUUUAAGUUGUGAACUCGCUGAGUGUGUUGUGAGCUCUUGUUGCGACUUGUGUGCGUGUUGGUACUCUGAUUUCGUGUCUUGUGUGUGUUGCUCAUCCCUUCCUUACUCCGUGCUUCUUUGUGAACAUCAAAGUGUAAGGGCGAGAGGCUCCAAGUUAUGGAGAGUCCUCGCAACCGGGAUAUAGAAAAGCAAAGCAAAACACCGUGGUAUUCAAGUUGGUCUUUGGACCACUUGAGAGGGGUUGAUUGCAACCCUCGUCCGUUGGGACGCCACAACGUGGAGUAGGCAAGUGUUGACUUGGCCGAACCACGGGAUAAACCACUGUGCCAUCUCUGUGUUGAUCUCUUUGUGGUUUUCGUGUUGUGCAAGCUCUCCUCUCUAGCCACUUGGCUUAACUGUGCUAACUCCUAAUCAAGUUUUGUGGAUUAAGUUUUAAGUUUUCACAGGAUCACCUAUUCACCCCCCUCUAGGUGCUCUCAAUGUCGAUCAGCGAGAACACACCGGCAUGGAAAGCCGUGGCACACACACGACCUCGUCCUAGAGCAAGGGGGAGCAGGCCUCAAAGUCAACUCCAACGCGUAUCCACAUAAAGCACCAUAUCGGAGGCAUUCGCUACGCCCGGCACAUCCUCGACAACAGGCGUCGAGAACAAGAAGAAGUUGAGCAGUCGUGCGAAAGAAGGCAUCUGCAACCCCAGCCCACCUGGGACAAGACCACGUGCCUUUGGGCGCGAGAUCCAAAAAGCGCAUUUCCCCAAAGGUAUGUGCGCCAGCCAACAUUUUCAAGUACAAAAUAGGUACGUCCCACCGUGAUCCAUUAGGAGUGGGUACCCCAUAUUUUGGGUACCAAUAGAGGUCCCUGGGCCCACCUCGGGUGAGGUGGCAAACCCGCAGGUGGGGCCAUACCUGCUUUUUGCUCCAUGCUAGUCCUGUGCAGCAACUCUACGCAUGCGGCCUCCAUGCCGAGUGGUUCGCUUGGCGACGCUUUGCUGUUGCUACAAAGACAAAACUUGGGAGCAAACAAUUCUUUCAUAAGUUAGCAUACUUGAGCUAUGCGACGUACACCAGUAGACUGGGUUUAUCAGGCUAGAACCCACCAUACCGGAACUCACAUAAGUGCAGCCUGGCUCAAAGGCUAGAUUUCCCUCUACUGCCCCCCGAUUACAUUAGCUCUCUAGGAGGUAGUCUCAUCUGUCUAAGGAAACUGUCAGACCAAAGGUCGGUCUUGAAUACAACCCAGGACCGAUGCUUAGCAGCAUACCCUCAUGAUCCUUACUUUGUUGCACUAAAUCUAUUGAAUCAUGUCACUGAAUCUUGCCGAGCAAAGUUUUGGGAUCCAACCCUAAAAUUUGGAUGGGGUCUAGACUUUUAGGGACCAAGUCCGAGGUAUUGGUUCAAUUGUUCUAGGGUGGCGGAAGGUGUUAGCUUACAGUACGGAACCAAGCUAAGAGACUACCUAGCUCCGGACUGCCCCCAAGAAUGUGGACCUAUCCCCUAGACCUAGUCCCCAGCAGUUCUAUCCCUGUUCAACAUCAAGGGGGGUCCCAAACUAAGUGACAAGCUAGUACAUAACUUAGAUUUUAUGAUAACAACAGAAGUGAGAAUCUCAAGUGGGGGGGUAGAAGGAACGUCAUGUGUCGUUUAAAGCAGGAAAAGAGAUUGAUACAUAAGGAUUGAACUGAGAGCAAAAUCUUCCUUUAUUACUGGAUACAUGAGAUCUGUGCGAUGAACACUAGAGACCGGGUUUACGAGGGCGACCCUCACCGGGCCGCGUUUAUGAGGUUGGACCUCUCCGAGCCAUACCGGCUUCAUCAUAUAAGAAGGGAAGAAAAUGAGAAGAUGCAAGACCAGGGAUGCCAAAGCACAAGUCCUCUAUCCAUAAGAAGAAACUUAUGCCAUCUUUGUCUAUGAUAGCACAUCCCCAUUAUCAGGUGAUUUGCAAGCUGCACUAUGGCUGGCUUCGUACAAGCCUCUUCAACUUCCCACAUAUGAUGGUCAAUCUAACCCCAAGAAAUUCUUGUUGAGCUAUUAGGCAACCAUUGCCUUCUUCAAUGGGAACACAAUAGUACUGGUCAAGUCAUUCAUCAUGGCUGUAAGGGAUAUAACACAAACCUAGUACUCCUUUCUUCAUCCAGGAUCAAUGUAACGCCCUGAAUUUGGGGGUAGAUUUUUUUUUCUUCUUUUCUCUCACCAAAUUCGGGCGUUACCCUUUCUUUUUCCCUUUUCUCCUCGCUAAGCCUUGAUCUUUUCCAAAGUUAUGGCGAGAUUCGGCUUGUGAUCUCGUGUAAAGCAAAACCCUAAAAUGCUUUAUUUUGUUUGCUGCACCAUGCCGAACCAUGCAUUUAUUUUGGUUGGUUGAAAUUGUGAAAGCAUUCAUCUAGAAAAUAGAUUAAAGAAAAAGGAAAAUCUUUUUCUUCUCUCUCCCCCCUCUCCUCCCCUUUCGGCCCAGCCGCCCCCUCCCCUCGCGCGCGGCCCAGCUGGCCAGCCGGCCCAGUCGGUCUUCCCCCCUCUCCCUUCCCGCCGUGGGCCCCGCGCCAGCCUCCCGGCCCAGCUGCGGCCCAGCCGCCCCCGCCGGCCCCCCGCUCCCCACGCCGCGCCCACCUCGCGCGCGGUUGGAAAAACCGCUGCCGCCUCCCCCGCGCGGGCCCCACCCGUCAGCUCCCCCUCCCCAAACCCCUCUCUCUCUCCUCCCCUGCUCGCCCCCGCUCCCCUGCCCGACCCGCCCGCGCCCCCGCUCGGCUCACCGCCGAACCGCUCGCCACCGGCCUCCCUCCUCCGCGCGGUAAGCCCCUCCCCCCUCCUCCCUCUCCUCUCCCCCUCCGUCCCUCUCCCCGGCGUGGUCCCGCCCGUCCCGGAGUCCCGGCGCGGCCCCGCCCCCGGAGCUCGCGGCCAUGGCGUCCGCGGCCAUGGCGCGGCGUCCCGGUGCGACCCCCCUGCCCCGCCCGACGAACCCCCCCUCGCGCGCGCCCGCGGCGCUCGGCCCCGGCCAUGGCGGCGUCCCGGCGCGGCCCGGCCUCGCCCCGCCUGGCGCGCUCCCCUCCCCGCGCCCCGGCGGCGCUCGGCCCCCGGAGUGGCUCGGCCUCCCCCGCCCGCGGCGCUCGGCCCCGGCCCCUGCGUGGCCUCGCCCGCCCGCAGCAGCCCCGGCCCCACCCCCUUUCCCCCCCGCGUCUCGGCCUUCGCCGGCCGACCAUGGCGCGGUGGUCUGCGGCCCCGGCGUGGCGCCCUCCCCGGCGCGGCCCCCUGCCCGGCGCAGCGUGCUCGCCCGCCCGUCCCCGGCGUGGCCUCGGCGGCGCUCGCGCAGCCCCGACCCCCGGCGUGGCCUCGGCGGUGCGCGUGGAGCCCCGGCGCGGCCCGUGCAUGCACGGUGCCCCCGGCGAGCUCGCCGCACCCGCGGCUCGCGGCCAUGGCGGCUCGGUCCCGCCCGCCUUGGUGCGCCCCGUCCCUGCGCAGCGCGGCCCCGACCCGGUGUGGCUUCGGCUCGCGCGACCGUGGUGCCCCUGCGUAGCGCGACGCGUGCGCUGCUCGGCCCCGGCGUGUGCGCGACUCGUUCACGACACGUCAGCGCGGCCUUGCGCGUACGUACCCGCGUGGCGCACGGUGCUUUGGCAUGGCUCGUCGUGCCCUCGGCGCGACGUAUAGCGCUGUGCCGCGUUCGCGACGCGCUUGUCUACCCCCUAGACGAGCCCGUCUACCCCCCCCUCCCCGUAUAUUUUAUGCGCGCUAAUCACGUUGUUCAUGUUAAUGAAAUAGGAAACUCAAUUUGGAAAUUGGUUAUGUUGGUUAAUUCAUGUAGUUAAUCGUCUAGCUCAUUUAAUGUUGAUCGACUGAAAGUGGUCACGUUUCUAUUAGUGCAUGUAGCUAAUCCUUAUUAUUGGAGCUAAGUAGAACUAGAACACGUAACACCUAUUUAUUCUUCUACCCGUAAUGCUUCUCGAGCAUAAGCUCUGACCCCUGCGAGACCUUCCCCCGUCUCUUUCCAACCAUGGUAAAUGCAAUAUCGCAUGUCAUAUUCUAUGCAUGUUUAAUCUACUUUUUCUCUUGUAUGGUGUACUGUUUGUUUCCUAAUUUGAAUGGAUGGAUGUAUGUAUGUUUGCACUCGCAUAGAGAACGAUUCGGUCGAAGAGCCCGAAGAACUCGCAGGAGAAGCCCCUGAGCAGCAGUCGGUUGGUGGAGGCAAGUGUCCCUUGACCCAUCUUUGUCAUAUACAUUCUUUAAUUCACCUUCCGCAUUACACAUUUAUGCCUAAGGAUUGACUAGCUUUGUUAUCCAUGUCCUUGUUUACCUAUUUGGGUUGGAUUAUUAUUGCUUAGUCUUAUGCUAUUGCUCCACUCUAAUUAAUGAACAUGAUGAGAUUAUCUAUGAUACGCUGUCUUCCCUUUUGAUUAUGAUGAUGGUACUUGUGGCCUUUAAGGGGACUCGAGCGGUUUCUCGAGUGCCUCUCCGUAAGGACCUGCUCUUUGAAUGACCGUCCGGGAAAACAGUGCAACCAUGAGGGUGGAAUGGGGUGCCCUUAGCUGAAUAAUUAGAGGAUCCGGGGUGUAGUUCGCUUAGUCGUCGUGCCGUCAAUGGGGCUCGGUGUAUGCGGCUCGCUCUGUCAAGUUUGGGUUCGCCCCUUGGGGAGGAGUGCGGUGCAUUUAGGAAACCUAACGGGCGGCUACAGCCCCGGGGAAUCUUUGUAAAGGCUACGUAGUGAUGCCCUGCUGGGUCACCUUGGUAGUGAUCAAUAGAGAGUCAUGAUCUCCGGGCAGAAAGGGAAUCACGGCUUGUGGGUAAAGUGCACAACCUCUGCAGAGUGUAUGAAAACUAAUAUAUCAGCCGUGCUCGCGGUUAUGAGCGGCCAAGGGAGCUCCAGUGAUUAGUGGUACUUGAUCAGAGAUGUUCGGAUUUGUAGAUGGCAAUGAGAUGGAUGGAUUCUUGGUAUUGACUCUGGUAAUGGUAAGUGGUACUCUUUCCGUUUGGAAAGGAGUACGUUUGGGUUGAUAACGUGGGUUAAUUCUAAAACUUGGCUUUCUCUACUAGUAAUAAUAAUCUGACCUACUAAAAGCAACUGCUUGACUUAUCCCCCACAUAAAGCUAGUCCACUACAACCAGACAAGACACUUGCUGAGUAUGUUGAUGUAUACUCACCCUUGCUCUACACACCAAAACCCCCCCAUCCCCAGGUUGUCAGCAUUGCAACCACUGCUCAGGAGAAGAUGAAGUCGUGGAAGGAGACUUCCAGGAGUUCCAAGACUACGACGAGUUCUAGGCGUGGGUUAGCGGCAACCCCCAGUCGGCUGCCUGUGAAGGCCGCGUUUAUCUACGUUUCUUUUCCGCACUUUGAUUUAUUGUAAAGACUAUGUGGAUGUCUCAGACAUAUGAUGUAAUCGACUAUUAUUCCCCUUUUUCAAUACUAUUUGAGCACAGUGUGAUGAUGUCCAUGUUAUGUAACUGUUGUGUACGUGAAUUGCUGAUCCUGGCACGUACAUGGUUCGCAUUCGGUUUGCCUUCUAAAACCGGGUGUGACAUAAGUGGUAUAAAAGCCAGGCUGACUGUAGGACCGCUAACCUAGAGUAGAAUGGUCGUUCUAAGGAUUAUAUACCUCUGUCCCUGCCUUGACUUUGAUAUCCCUUCAAAAUUUGGUCAUAUCGACCAAAACUAUGUUCUACUGUAUAUUAUACCUUGCUGAAAAUUGUGUUUUAUUCUAAUCCUUCAUUUAUUUAUGGUUCAUUACUUGCUGGUCAUAUUAAUUCUGUUCUCACUCUUUUGCUUGUGGUGUCUUUUGUAGAUGGCUUGCCUUAGACACACCGCACAGAAGUCUGUCAUCCCCUUCUUACCCUCUCGUCUCGCGGAGCGUCCGCUUCGCCGUCCCGUGGCCGGUCAGUCCAGCCACUUGGAGAGGCUGCACCACCGCCUGCAUGAGGAGCAGGAACAUCGUCGACAGGAGCAACAGGGCUCUUCUUUCUCGCUCCAGCAGGAGAUAGAGUCUGUGAGGAGCUGCUCCUCUGUGCUUCCCCUGGAGGCGCCCCCUGCACCACCACUGGGCGCCUCAGCCUCUGGAGUAGCUGCUGGAGGAGACCCAGACGACGAAGGUGGCGACGACAGCUCGAGCCACGACACCAACUUUUCUGCUGAUCAGGAGCCGGAAGGAUGGGUUGCUCGACCCAUCACUCGCGACGCUGCUCGCGGGUGUCACUUCCACGAUGCGCUCGACACCCUGCUACGUCGGGCACUUAACCGGCGUACUUGGUCCAUCGAGUAUCGUUGUGUGGUCUACCAGCAUAGUCACGGGGUCAACCCGGACCGCUGGGAGGCGACCUGCUUGGUGCGCCGUCCGGAGAACAGUCUCCAGGGUGCGGAGGCCUGCUCAGAGCACUAUUCUAUCUCUGAGCGGGACUCAGCUGAGGCGGCCAUGCAAGAUGCCGCACGGCGUGCGCUUUCGCACUACUGAUCGGUUCUCGGUGGGGUAGCUGACGGUCUCAACCUGAAGUAUUACCCCCGCCGUCCAUCUGGCAGCAUAGGAGGCGUGAUUGUUUCACCUGUCGACGAGGACAAUCCUAGGUUGAGCAGCACAGUCAACCUAGCCGCCGUGCUAAACACGGAGCUGGACCAUGCAUUAGACGAGCUGAGUAGGGCUCGUGCUGAUAUCGCCCUGUUGUGGGCUGAGCGCGCGGAACGUCAUCACCUGGAUGAUGGUUCCCCCGCUCCCGUCGGGGACUCAGCACCCGUACCGCUCACCUCGGCGUGGACGCCAGUCUUAUGGCAAUCCCGACUGCAAGACCAAGAUAAAUCUAGAACCAUAGAUCGUUAGAGUCGAAUCUUGUAAUUAAUACGAAAUAUAUACGUAGAAGCUACCGUCUUAGCGUUAGUCUCGCUCUUAGUCAGUCUUAGUUAGACUGGGUAGUUUGCUAUAUCCUGUGCAUUUAUGUUUGUCAUGAUGAACUAUGUAUGAUUUGGAUCUUUGUAAUGACUGUCACCAGAGUGUGGGUAUCCCCUGCAUUUUGGUUUACCUGUUAUAUGUUAAAGGAGUUAGCUAUUUAGUUGGGAAGCCUUUUAUUCCACUUUCCUCUUUAUCUGAGAAGCUGUGUGGUCUGUGUUGGAGAUCAGUGAAGAUGCUCGUCUGUUCAGGGUUGUUGAAGAAUUCUAUGCUCUUUUCUUAUGCUGCAAGAUUUGCAAGAUCAGUUCUGAUAUGUGGUUGCAUUCUACAGAUGUCAGAGAACAGGCGCAGAGGAGGAAGGCGUGCUCAGCAGGAGCAAGCCGCUCAGCAGGAAGAGGUACCCCAGCAACAGCAACUGCCGCCCCCGCCCCCGAUGUACAUCGAGCAGAUGUUCCUGAUGCAGACUCAGGCAGUUCAAGCCAUUGGUCAGACUCUGGUCGCUAUUCAGCAGCAGUAGCAACAACAGCCACCACCUCAACCUCAGAUGCCUCAGAUGCCCAGAGACAAGCGUGCUGAAUUCAUGAGAGGUCAUCCACCAACGUUUGCUCAUUCUUCUGACCCCAUGGAUGUUGAAGACUGGUUGCGCACUGUGGAGCGAGAGUUGCAUACCGCUCAGUGCGACGAUAGGGAGAAAGUCCUGUAUGGUCCCCGUCUGUUGAGAGGAGCAGCUCAGUCAUGGUGGGAGUCUUAUCUUGUCACCCAUGCCAACCCCGACACCAUCACCUGGGAAGAGUUCAGAGGUAGCUUUCGUCAGUACCAUGUUCCUGCAGGUCUGAUGACAGUGAAGGAGGAGUUCCUGGCCCUCAAGCAAGGGUCAUCGUCUGUUAGCGAGUACCGGGACAGGUUUCUGCAGCUGUCUCGCUAUGCUCCUGAAGAUGUCAACACCGACGCCAAGCGACAGUACUGUUUCCUGAGAGGCUUGGUUGAUCAUCUGCAAUAUCAGCUGAUGAAUCAUACCUUCCCGACAUUCCAGCACUUGAUUGACAGAGCAAUCAUGACAGAGAGGAAGCGUAAAGAGAUGGAGGAUCGCAAGCGCAAAAUCAGUGGACCCCAGCCUGGAAGUAGCAAUCGUCCUCGUUUCUCAAGCAAUCAACCUCAGCAGUUCAGGCAGAACCAGCGUCCACCUCAGCAUCAGCAGUUCCAAAGGCAGUAUCCUCAGCACCAGUAUCAGAAUCAUCAGAACAAUCAGUCAGGAGGAGGUCAGUUUCAGAGGCAGAAUCAGCAGGCACCUUGUCUUCCUGCCCCAGCAAACCAGCAGAACAGUCAGGCAGCACCAGCUCAGGUUGGAAACAGAGCAUGUUUCCACUGUGGAGAGCAAGGCCACUGGGUGAUGCAAUGUCCGAAGAAGGCAGCCCAGCAACAGUCAGGCCCUAAUGCCCCAACAAAGCAGAAUGUGUCUCAGCCUGGAGCAGGCAACCGCUCUCAGCCACGCUAUAAUCAUGGGAGACUGAACCACUUGGAGGCUGAAGCAGUUCAGGAGACCCCCGACAUGAUAGUAGGUAUGUUCUCAGUCGACUCUCAUAUUGGAGAAGUGUUAUUUGAUACUGGAGCAACACAUUCUUUCAUUACUGCAUCAUGGGUAGAAGCACAUAAUCUUCCAAUAACUACCAUGUCAACCCCCAUUCAAAUUGACUCAGACGGUGGUAGAAUUCGAGCUGAUAGCAUAUGUUUGAAUGUAUGUGUGGAAAUAAGGGGGAUAGCGUUUCCCGCUAACCUCAUAGUAAUGGGUACUCAGGGAAUAGAUGUCAUCCUAGGGAUGAAUUGGCUAGAUAAGUAUCAGGCAGCUAUCAGUUGUGAUAAGAGGACAAUCAAAUUGGUGUCCCCACUAGGAGAGGAAGUGGUGACCGAGUUAGUCCCACCUGAGCCGAAGAAAGGAAGUUGUUAUCAGAUGGCUGUCGAUAGCAGUGAAGCAGACCCAAUUGAGAGUAUCAAGAUUGUGUCUAAGUUUCCAGAUGUGUUUCCAAAGGACUUCUCAGGUAUGCCACCAGAGCGGAAAGUUGAAUUUGCCAUAGAGCUUCUUCCUGGAACCGCCCCCAUCUUUAAGAGAGCUUACAGAAUAUCUGGGCCAGAGUUGGUCGAGCUUAAGAAGCAGAUCAAUGAGUUGUCAGAGAAAGGUUACAUCCGGCCAAGCACCUCACCUUGGGCUGCCCCUGUCCUAUUUGUGGAAAAGAAAGAUGGCACCAAAAGGAUGUGUAUCGAUUAUCGAGCUCUGAAUGAGGUCACCAUCAAGAACAAGUACCCCUUGCCCAGAAUAGAAGAUCUGUUCGACCAGUUGAGAGGAGCCAGUGUGUUCUCCAAGAUAGAUCUGAGGUCAGGUUAUCAUCAGCUCAGGAUCCGACCUUCAGACAUUCCGAAGACGACAUUCAUUACCAAGUAUGGGUUGUAUGAGUUCACAGUGAUGUCUUUCGGUCUAACCAAUGCACCGGCCUUCUUCAUGAACUUGAUGAACAGUGUAUUCAUGGACUAUCUCGAUAAGUUUGUGGUGGUAUUCAUCGAUGACAUUCUGAUUUAUUCUCAAAGUGAAUAAGAGCAUGCAAGUCAUUUGAGGAUGGUAUUGUAGAGAUUGUGAGAGCACCAGUUGUAUGCAAAAUUGAGCAAGUGCGAGUUCUGGAUCAGUGAAGUCCUGUUCUUGGGUCACAUAAUCAACAAAGAAGGAUUGGCUGUGGAUCCGAAGAAAGUGGCAGACAUUCUGAACUGGAAAGCGCCAACGGAUGCUCGAGGAAUCAAGAGCUUCAUUGGAAUGGCGUAUAUUAUCGGCGAUUCAUUGAAGGGUUUUCGAAGAUUGCAAAACCGAUGACAGCUUUGCUAGGCAACAAAGUUGAGUUCAAGUGGACUCAGAAAUGUCAAUAGGCCUUCGAAGCGCUGAAAGAGAAGUUGACUACAGCGCCUGUCUUAGUAUUGCCUGAUGUGCACAAGCCCUUCUCGGUGUAUUGUGAUGCUUGUUACACUGGUUUGGGAUGUGUGUUGAUGCAAGAGGGAAGAGUUGUGGCUUACUCGUCCCGACAGCUGAAAAUUCAUGAGAAGAAUUACCCAAUUCAUGACCUAGAGUUGGCAUCAGUGGUUCACGCACUGAAGACAUGGAGGCACUAUCUGUAUGGACAGAAAUGCGAUGUCUACACAGACCACAAGAGUUUGAAGUACAUAUUCACUCAGUCAGAGCUGAAUAUGAGGCAACGAAGAUGGUUAGAGCUGAUCAAAGACUAUGAGUUGGAGAUUCAUUACCAUCCAGGCAAAGCGAACGUAGUGGCAGAUGCUUUGAGCAGAAAGAGUCAAGUCAAUCUGAUGGUCGCGCGUCCGAUGCCUUAUGAGUUGGCCAAAGAGUUUGAUAGGUUGAGUCUCGGAUUUCUGAAUAAUUCGCGAGGAGUCACAAUUGAGUUGGAACCUACCUUGGAGCGGGAAAUCAAAGAAGCGCAGAAGAACGAUGAGAAGAUCGGUGAGAUCCGGCGACUGAUUCUAGAUGGCAGAGGCAAAGAUUUUCGAGAAGAUGCAGAAGGGGUAAUUUGGUUCAAAGACCGCUUGUGUGUUCCUAAUGUCCAGUCUAUUCGGGAGUUGAUCCUCAAGGAAGCUCAUGAGACAGCCUAUUCGAUUCACCCUGGCAGUGAGAAGAUGUAUCAAGAUCUGAAGAAGAAAUUCUGGUGGUACGAAAUGAAGAGGGAAAUCGCAGAGCAUGUGGCUAUGUGCGAUAGUUGUCGAAGGAUCAAGGCAGAGCACCAGAGACCAGCCGGAUUGUUGCAACCGUUGCAAAUUCCUCAGUGGAAAUGGGAUGAAAUCGGCAUGGAUUUCAUAGUCGGAUUGCCUCGCACUCGAGCCGACUACGAUUCCAUUUGGGUAGUGGUGGACCGCUUAACCAAGUCAACCCACUUCAUACCCGUCAAGACCAACUACAGCAGUGCAGUGUUGGCAGAAUUGUACAUGUCUCGGAUCGUCUGUCUUCACGGUGUGCCAAAGAAGAUAGUGUCAGACCGAGGAACGCAGUUCACCUCUCAUUUCUGGCAGCAAUUGCAUGAAGCCUUGGGCACACAUCUGAAUUUCAGUUCAGCUUAUCAUCCACAGACAGAUGGUCAGACCGAGAGAACCAAUCAAAUUCUUGAAGACAUGUUGAGAGCCUGUGCGUUGCAAGAUCAGUCCGGAUGGGACAAGCGAUUGCCUUAUGCAGAGUUCUCCUAUAACAACAGUUACCAGGCCAGCUUGAAGAUGUCACCUUUUCAGGCGCUCUAUGGGAGGAGUUGUAGAACUCCGUUGCAAUGGGAUCAGCCUGGAGAAAAGCAAGUGUUCGGGCCAGACAUUCUGCUUGAAGCUGAAGAGAACAUCAAGAUGGUUCGAGAGAAUCUGAAGAUAGCGCAAUCAAGGCAGCGAAGCUAUGCAGACACUAGAAGAAGAGAUCUGAGUUUUGAGGUUGGAGACUUUGUCUAUCUGAAAGUGUCACCGACCAGAGGAGUCAGAAGGUUCGGAGUGAAAGGCAAGCUAGCACCCCGCUACAUCGGUCCAUACCAGAUUGUCGCAAGGCGUGGAGAAGUGGCCUAUCAGCUCAGCCUACCAGAAAAUUUAUCUGCUAUGCAUGAUGUCUUUCAUGUGUCUCAGUUGAAGAAGUGUUUGCGUGUGCCAGAAGAGCAGUUGCCAGUGGAAGGUAUGGAGGUCCAGGAGGACUUGACCUACACAGAAAAAACCAGCGCAAAUCCUUGAGACUGCAGACAGAGUCACCCGAAGGAAGACCAUCAGAAUGUGCAAAGUCAGAUGGAGUCACCACUCUGAGGAAGAAGCAACUUGGGAGCGCGAAGAGGAUCCGAUGGCCAAAUACCCUGAGCUCUUUGCUAGCCAACCCUGAAUCUCGAGGGCAAGAUUCUUUUAAGGGGGAUAGGUUUGUAACGCCCUGAAUUUGGGGGUAGAUUUUUUUCUUCUUUUCUCUCACCAAAUUCGGGCGUUACCCUUUCUUUUCCCCUUUUCUCCUCGCUAAGCCUUGAUCUUUUCCAAAGUUAUGGCGAGAUUCGGCUUGUGAUCUCAUGUAAAGAAAAACCCUAAAAUGCUUUAUUUUGUUUGCUGCACCAUGCCGAACCAUGCAUUUAUUUUGGUUGGUUGAAAUUGUGAAAGCAUUCAUCUAGAAAAUAGACUAAAGAAAAAGGAAAAUCUUUUUCUUCUCUCUCCCCCCCUCUCCUCCCCUUUCGGCCCAACCGCCCCCUCCCCCUCACGCGCGGCCCAGCUAGCCAGCUGGCCCAGCCGGCCUUCCCCCCUCUCCCUUCCUGCCGUGGGCCCCGCGCCAGCCUCCCAGCCCAGCCGCCCCCGCCGGCCCCCCGCUCCCCACGCUGCGCCCACCGCACGCGCGGUUGGAAAAACCACCGCCGCCUCCCCCGCGCGGGCCCCACCCGUCAGCUCCCCCUCCCCAAACCCCUCUCUCUCUCCUCCCCUGCUCGCCCCCGCUCCCCUACCCGACCCGCCCGCGCCCCCGCUCGGCUCGCCGCUGAACCGCUCGCCGCCGGCCUCCCUCCCCCGCGCGGUAAGCCCCUCCCCCUCCUCCCUCUCCUCUCCCCCUCCCUCCCUCUCCCCGGCGCGGUCCCGCCCGUCCCGGAGUCUCGGCGCGGCCCCGCCCCCGGAGCUCGCGGCCAUGGCGCGGCGUCCCGGUGCGACCCCCCCCUCGCGCACGCCCGCGGCGCUCGGCCCCGGCCAUGGCGGCGUCCCGGCGCGGCGCGGCCUCGCCCCGCCUGGCGCGCUCCCCUCCCCGCGCCCCGACGACGCUCGGCCCCCGGCGUGGCUCGGCCUCCCCCGCCCGCGGCACUCGGCCCCGGUCCCUGCGCGGCCUCGCCCGCCCGUGGCAGCCCCAGCCCUGGCCCCCCUUUUCCCCCGCGUCUCGGCCUCCGCCGGCCGGCCAUGGCGCGGCGGCAUGCGGCCUCGGCGUGGCGCCCUCCCUGGCGCGGCCCCCUGCCCGGCGCGGCGUGCUCGCCCGCCCGUCCCCGGCGCGGCCUCGGUGGCGCUCGCGCAGCCCCGGCCCCCGGCGUGGCCUCGGCGUUUCGCGCGGAGCCCCGGCGCGGCCCGUGCACGCACGGUGCCCCAGGCGAGCUCGCCGCACCCGCGGCUCGCGGCCAUGGCGGCUCGGUCCCGCCCGCCUUGGUGUGCCCCGUCCCUGCGCAGCGCGGCCCCGGCCCGGCGUGGCUUCGGCUCGCGUGGCCGUGGUGCCACUGCGUAGCGCGACGCGUGUGCUGCUCGGCCCCGGCGUGUGCGCGACUCGUUCGUGACACGUCAGUGCGGCCUUGCGCGUACGUACCCGCGUGGCGCACGAUGCUUUGGCAUGGCUCGCCGUGCCCUCGGCGCGACGUAUAGCGCUCUGCCGCGUUCGCGACGCGCUUGUCUACCCCCUAGACGAGCCCGUCUACCCCCCGUAUAUUUUAUGCGCGCUAAUCACGUUGUUCAUGUUAAUGAAAUAGGAAACUCAAUUUGGAAAUUGGUUACGUUGGUUAAUUCAUGUAGUUAAUCAUCUAGCUCAUUUAAUGUUGAUCGACUGAAAGUGGUCACGUUUCUAUUAGUGCAUGUAGCUAAUCCUUAUUAUUGGAGCUAAGUAGAGCUAGAACAUGUAACACCUAUUUAUUCUUCUACCCAUAAUGCGUCUCGAGCAUAAGCUCUGACCCCUGCGAGACCUUCCCCUGUCUCUUUCCAUCCAUGGUAAAUGCAAUAUCGCAUGUCAUAUUCUAUGCACGUUUAAUCUACUUGUUCUCUUGUAUGGUGUACUGUUUGUUUCCUAAUUUGAAUGGAUGGAUGUAUGUAUGUUUGCACUCGCAUAGAGAACGAUUCGGUCGAGGAGCCCGAAGAACUCGCAGGAGAAGCCCCUGAGCAGCAGUCGGUUGGUGGAGGCAAGUGUCCCUUGACCCAUAUUUGUCCGAUACAUUCUUUAAUUCACCUCUCGCAUUACACAUUUAUGCCUAAGGAUUGACUAGCUUUGUUAUCCAUGUCCUUGUUUACCUAUUUGGGUUGGAUUAUUAUUGCUUAGUCUUAUGCUAUUGCUCCACUCUAAUUAAUGAACAUGAUGAGAUUAUCUAUGAUACGUUGUCUUCCCUUUUGAUUAUGAUGAUGGUACUUGUGGCCUUUAAGGGGACUCGAGCGGUUUCUCGAGUGCCUCUCCGUAAGGACCUGCUCUUUGGAUGACCGCCCGGGAAAACAGUGCAACCAUGAGGGUGGAAUGGGGUGCCCUUAGCUGAAUAAUUAGAGGAUCCGGGGUGUAGUUCGCUUAGCCGUCGUGCCGUCAAUGGGGCUCGGUGUAUGUGGCUCGCUCUGCCAAGUUUGGGUUCGCCCCUUGGGGAGGAGUGCGGUGCAUUUAGGAAACCUAACGGGCGGCUACAGCCCCGGGGAAUCUUUGUAAAGGCUACAUAGUGAUGCCCUGCUGGGUCACCUUGGUAGUGACCAAUGGAGAGUCAUGAUCUCCGGGCAGAAAGGGAAUCACUGCUUGUGGGUAAAGUGCACAACCUCUGCAGAGUGUAUGAAAACUGAUAUAUCAGCCGUGCUCGCGGUUAUGAGCGGCCAAGGGAGCUCCAGUGAUUAGUGGUACUUGAUCAGAGAUGUUCGGAUUUGCAGAUGGCAAUGAGAUGGAUGGAUUCUUGGUAUUGACUCUGGUAAUGGUAAGUGGUACUCUUUCCGUUUGGAAAGGAGUACGUUUGGGUUGAUAACGUGGGUUAAUUCUAAAACUUGGCUUUCUCUACUAGUAAUAAUAAUCUGACCUACUAAAAGCAACUGCUUGACUUAUCCCCCACAUAAAGCUAGUCCACUACAACCAGACAGGACACUUGCUGAGUAUGUUGAUGUGUACUCACCCUUGCUCUACACACCAACCCCCCAUCCCCAGGUUGUCAGCAUUGCAACCACUGCUCAGGAGAAGAUGAAGUCGUGGAAGGAGACUUCCAGGAGUUCCAAGACUACGACGAGUUCUAGGCGUGGGUUAGCGGCAACCCCCAGUCGGCUGCCUAUGAAGGCCGCGUUUAUCUACGUUUCUUUUCCGCACUUUGAUUUAUUGUAAAGACUAUGUGGAUGUCUCAGACAUAUGAUGUAAUCGACUAUUAUUCCCCUUUUUCAAUACUAUUUGAGCACUGUGUGAUGAUGUCCAUGUUAUGUAACUGCUGUGUACGUGAAUUGCUGAUCCUGGCACGUACAUGGUUCGCAUUCGGUUUGCCUUCUAAAACCGGGUGUGACAAUCAAUCACCACAUGGUCGAAACUCAAAGAUCAACUGCUCACAAGCUUUCAACGGUUUUAUACCAAGAAAAUUAAAGAUCAGGCUCUAUUUCAAUGCCCCUAAGAACUAGAAGAAUAUCUUCAAAGCUAUAUCUGAAGGUUCCUUCGAAUCAUAGCAUAAGCAUCAAGUGUACCAGAUGACAUUGUCAUUGAGGCUAUGAUCAAGGGGCUUCGGCUAGGAACAUGCUCUUGGUAUUUUGCUAGGAAGCCACCCCACACUUUGGAGGAUCUACUCUACAAAAUGAAUGAAUAUAUCAGAGUAGACAAUGAUUGUCAACAGCGCCGACAUUAUUUAUUUUACAUUUUAAAGCAUGAUUAACCUUAUGUGAUCUAAUGGCCCCAUCGUACAUUGGGCUAGCCCAUGACCCAAAUAUGUUGUCGUAUAGGAUGCUUAGGCUAGCAUGAUGGCCCAUGCAUUGGCUUUGCACGACCUAUUGACAUGGGUGGGCCUAAACGUGUUGUGCCACAGUUGGGCUAAUGGUGGCCCGGUCUGACUAUUUGGACAUGCAUAUUGUAGGAGUCCAAAAAUAAGCAUGGCCAUGGUACUUAUCUCAAUCUAGUUUUCUUAAAGUUAAUUAGAAUUGUAAGAAAUAUUAACAACAUUUGUGUCUCUAAAUAAGACUGUUAUAAAAAUAGAUUAAACUAUCUAUCUAAGGAUGCUAAUUAUAUACUAUAGAUAUUAAGAUUUCUUAUAUAUAUUUGAUCAAAGUUAAACAUGUUUGACUCAUCUAUAAGAAAAAACAACACUUGACUUUUAUGGAUGGAGUAGUAACUAAGGCCUAUGGGCUCAGACACAUGAUUCCACUGCUUGGCAAAUAUUCCCUAUGAGUUGGUCCCAAGGAUGAUUAGGAAUGUUAGAAUGGGCUAGGUUGAUCUCCAUUUUGAUAGUGUUUGGAUGGAGGUGACUUGUUUCAAGGGGAAUAUACCCCUUAGAUUUGUAGUAGCUUCAUCCAUAAAAUUUAGGGGAUGAACUCAUCCCAAAUCCAUGUUGUGAUGCUUCAUCGACUAAGCAUGGGUCCUCGGCUUCACACGCUAGUGCGACACGGGGCUUAGGGCGGCUGUAGAGACAUGGAUCUUCAAGCUCUUUGCAACACAUGGGCGGCCAACCUUGUGGCGGAUGGGAAGUGCUAGUCUCUAGGUAGCGUAGGGUUGGCCGUCUAUGGUGCUUAAGACUGUCUUCAACGGCCCACUCUAAAUUCCACACCUAUAUCCUAUAUCUCACUUUCAUGACACGUCAGCAAUCUCUCUUGCCCUAUAUCUCAUCUUCGUGCAGCGGUUGCCUCUAUAUCACCCUCUAAAAUCCUUCAUAUCAAUAAAGUAUACAUUUCUUUUUAACUACCACAACUACCAAUCAUAUUUUUCCAUUUUUCCUUUCUCACACUGGUAUUUACUCUACCAUAAGUAAAACUGUUGUAAAUCGAAUUUAAUGAUUACUAUACUUUUUCACGCAUCUUUCAUGGUGAUGUGCAGCAUGACCGCGGCGUGAAGCUGGUUGUUGUUUCGCCGGCAUCAGAGCGUGUCCCGCGCGUGGGGCUCACCCACAUGUAUCGUCGUCCUGCUCCGGCGACGAAGAAGCUCCGGCUGGGGAAUGCUCUCGCGGAUCUAGCAAAUGGAACGACACCGAAGAAGCUUCGACCUGAGAGGAUGUCUCCAACAAUGGUGGUGGCUUCGGCAGAUCCGGUAAGACAGUUGCCUCGUGGACGUCAUCGCGCUCCGGGACGGAGGCCGCGGCUUCGGUUCGACCGACGAACCAUCGUCAAUGUCCUCCUCUAGCAGCUUCUCCUCUGGCCUUGCUCUUUUCAGUCGACGGUCCGUACGAGGGAGAGCUCGAGUGGGUGCAACGGGUGGCGACGUGUAGGCAGGGGCGAAGCCAGGAUUCGAAGACAGAGGGGGCAGACUUAGCCUCCAAGCGACCAAACCAGUAAAGACACAGUAUAAAAAUGGCAAGGGAACCAACCACAAUGUAUAUAUUGAUAUAUAAUCUUCAUUAAAAACAGUAUAAUGAAACAACAUCUAUUUUGUCAAACAAAAUAAAAUUACAUCUCAGUUAUUUUAAAUUUAGCUCUACGUGUAUUAGCUAGAUCAUAGGCCUUGAUAAUAUCAUCAGAACAAAUCAUUGCCACUAAUUCCCUUUUAAUAUAAACGAUCAGAUAAUCACGUAAAUAGGCAUAUCUCAUUUUUCUUCGAAGACGUGUCUUCACAAAUUUCAUAGCUGAAAAGGCUCUCUCUUUGGUCGCAGUUGACACAAGGAGAGUUAAAAGUAAUCUCAAUAAUUUAUCGGAUAAGAAGAAUCUUUACCCAGCUUAGCUAAUCCACUUGGUUGGGCCAAAAAUUAAGGGUUUCAGACUACCAAAUAAUAAACUGACAACAAGAUAAUGGGCUAUAGGAUACAUUAUUAAUCUGACUUGGUUGAGCCAUUGGGGGUGCCAAGCCCACUCCGGCCCCCCUGGUGGCUUCGCCACUGCGUGUAGGGGCACUCUACAUAUAGUGGGAGAGAGAAGAAUCCCACCGGGUAGAGGUAGGCGAAGGGGCGAGCGUUGUAGCGUUUGGAGUGAUUCUGUAGCCACUAUACAUGCACAAUAUUAUGGGAGGGAGACGCCAACAACAACUAUUGAAGAGAGUCUAAGGUGCGUGAGUGGGCAGUAGUGGUGCAUGGUGCAUAUAGGAUCUUGCCAAUGAAUAGAGUCAAAUAAAAGGUUGAAAUCAUCACAUGAGAAGCUAAACAGCCUUUUGCCCUGAUUAGUGGCAAACGUAGGCCAAUAACAUAGGAAGGACUCACUCACCUCUUUCCUAUUCCUCUUUUUAUUUUUCUUUAUCCUUCCUUUGUUCUUCUUUUUACUUCACCUUUGUCCAACUUAUUCCAAAACUUAUAGACACUGCGCUAACAAUUAUGGUAAGAUCCUAACAGAUAAGGCAAGAUCUUAGCAGAUAAGAUAAGAUCCUAGCAGAUAAGAAAGACACACUUGUAAUCAUAGAGUGGGUUCCAUGUACAACUAGGUUAUCGACUCGGUACCAUCAUGGACCAGAUAACCAACUCGAUAUCCACCAUGUAACCGCCUCCUCCUUGCUCUACAAAAGGAGGGCAGGGGCGCCCCUAUGGGCAUUAGAUCAUCAUAUCAUAAGCAAUAGCCACCAACACACUGGACAUAGGGUAUUAUCUCGCCUUGAUAGCCCAAACCUGUCAAAAUCUUCGAGUCUUCUAUGCAUUUACCUUUAGUUUUCGAUCUCGUGAUCUACCCCAUAAAUCCACUAUCUAAUAUUCCUUAACAAUUAAUAACACAAUUCGCAUGUGUAGUACUACAUAAAAUUAAUCUCUUGUAUUUAAAGCUCCCCCUGCAUUGACGCUCCCUCCGCGCUCGAUAGGCAUUUGGCCUUCGCUCCUGUCGAGGCAUGGAGAAUGGGGUAGACACAAAACUAGCCACUCUUUCUAGCAUUAGAAUUGUUCUUGUAAAACUUAGUGAUUGAUAUUGAAAAGAUAAGAUUGUCACCACAUGUAGGUUAACACAAUAAAAAGGGACCAUUUGGAUAUUUUUCAUUUGAGAGGAAUUAAAAUAUAUUUAAUGCACUCGAUUAUUUGACUCAAAAUAUGAUAUUCCAUAAACCUUCGACUAGCUCUCCUAGAAUAGAAAUGCAUCACAUAAAUGGUUUAAUAAUUUAUGACUAGAUUAUAGUUAUAGAAAAAUAAUCCCAAGGAUUCAAACUUAAAUGAUAUUGUCAAAAUUUUAAAAUAACUAGUACAACUGAGUCAUUCGGGCAAGCAACCAACACACGACCAUGCAAACUCAGGAAACUGGGUCUAUCAAAGGCUAAUUUUGCUCUCACUCACUCAAUUGAAACACAAGGUUCCCACAAACAUUGCAUUGGGACCUUGCCCGGCUGCUACAAUCACGCUAGGCCGCAUGCGCCAUGGAUGGUCCAAAGGUUCCCUGUCUUUAAUAACUCGCCUUUGCCAUCAUAUAUAAACCUGGCCUUGACACCCCUGUCCCCACCACACCACAACAAGCACAGAGACACCAAGCGUUGAACUCGCCUAAGCAGCUACCAACCAACCCUAGAAAGCUAGACACCGUACCCAUGGCUCGCGCUAGCGUCGUCUUUGUCAUUGCUGCUCUCCUCUUCGUCGCCAUGGUCGUAGCACCGAUGGCCGAGGCAAAGUCUGCCGAUGCCCCUGUGGCUGACGCGCCGGCCGAUGGACCUAGCGGGCCGGCUGCUGCACCUGGCCCCCAGGGUGUCGAAGGCCUGUCAGGCAAUGAGGAUGACGAUGAUGACUCCACCAACUGAGGCCACACAUGUCGGCCCGGUUAAAUUUGGAACAAGACAUGGAAGAAAAAUGAGAGCAAUGUCUUUAAAACCAUGAAUCCAUAAUAAUGUGUGGUCAUCCAUGGAUACAUCCUUGCUCUCCCUCUUUUUCUUUCUGUUUGAUUUUCAAUGUGUUAUCAUGUUGUUAGUUAACUGUAUCGACUCAUGGUAUCAAGGUCUAAAAAAUUAUCGUCGUUCUUGUGUUCUUGAGCCACUGAGAUUUUGAGACAGUGAACGAUUCAUCAAUCACAACGUUGGUUUUAGUCUUCCCUGCAUCUCGUGCUGCACAAAAAAACGUCUUCUUGGCCCUUUGUUCACAAUUAUUCGAAUUCCAUUUAUAUUUUGGGGAGGGGGAGGGGGGCAUUAUCUAAGCUCUAGACCCUUUUCUGAAGCUCUAACACACAGCUUGCAAGGCCAAAAUACCAUGAACGUACUACCUAAAAAUUGCCGGUAUUUAACGUCCAUGUAAUAUCAUUUUUGUAAUAGCAUACACAAUGUUCUUAGCCAUUAUAUGCUUUAACUGACCUUACAGUGGGUAAGCCGUGACUUGAUAUAACUAACCAUAAGCAAAGUGUGAGAAGCCAUGAUUUACCAAACUUUAGCGUGCCUAAUAAAUAUUUACCGUAUUUUUAUUUUAUUUUAUAUGACACAUGGAGUGCAUCAUAAUCUACCUACCCAAAAGGCACAAGUAUGUGUGCAUCAAGCUGUUUCAAAGAAAAUAUGCUAGAUUAUCACUAAAAUAUGUGCUGUCAUUAAAAUGCGCCAAGCCAUCAUCAUAUAAGCGUUGACUUUCCAUAGAGUCUAAUACAGAAGACAAUUUUCUUUUGUUUUGCAGUCAUGUAAUAGGAAACCAUAUGAUAUUUUUUUAUAUGUUAGAGCUCUUAAAAAGGGGUUUCUCUACAUAAAUGUAAUUAACAUAAUUUUUAUAUAAACAUAAGAAUUAUAAAAGUAUGGACUCACAACACAUAUACUUUAUUUAUUUGUACCAUUUAAAUUAAACAAAAUUAAACUUGUCUGUCACGCGGAGGCAAGGCCGUUUGGCCAACCGAAUCGGUGUUUGUUAGGCUAUCUCUAGCAACUUUUAUGUCUCAUCUCUUAUCGUAUUGUAUAUUUUAAACUUCACUCUUCAAACAAUGUCAAACAAUAUUAUCUAUAGUAUCGUAUCCUUAGAUCAUAUUUCGCAAGUUUGUGUGGCUAUGUAUUGGCUGCUUGCCCGAAUGACACAGUUGUAGUGAUAGCAAAAUUCUUUUAGGCCACAUGUCGUAGAGUAAAAAGUAUAGCAAUAUUCUUUUAGUUAUGAUAGAGUGUGACUUCUAAGGCUAUGUUUGGUUUCUUUAGUCUAGGGACUAAAAUUUAGUUAGAGGACUAAACUUUAGUCCCUAACAUGUUUGGUUUUAUGGGAUAAAAAUAGUAAGAAUAUACUAUAUGACUCAUAAGAAGACUAAAAUGGCCUUUAACAUUCUCUUGCUAUUAGUACAAUUGAACUAAAUGAGGGGUAAAUGUGGAAUUAAUAUGGUUUAGUCUCUUUUAGCACAUAUGUGAAGGAUUAAAUAAAGACUAAAUCAUUUUAGUCCAUAUUUUAGUCCUAAUGUUUGGCAAAAAAAGACUAAAUAAGACUAAAAACUAGAGACUAAUCUUUAGUUCCUCUAACCAAACCCCCCUAAAUUAAGGAUAUAUUUCGUUGCUAGCCACACUUUAUCACACUUUACCUUAGCCAGUGUUGACUAAUUUAGAAGUUUGUUUGACGAUUAAAGUUGGGCAAGAAUUUUUAGGCUGAUGCAUGACUUUAUGUAGACAAAUUCAAUUCAUGUUUACCGUUAGUGCAACGACUGUAUAUUCAUAUAAUAUAUUUUGGUAUAGAUUGGGCAUUCCAGGCCUCAUAAAUUUAUUUGACAUGCAUAUUCGUAUAUUUAUUUAACGUAGACAAUGCAAUUUCGAUGAUAUGCACAGCCGCUGUUUGUAUUAAUCGUAGGGAACAUUUAAGAAACAUGCCUCACAUUCAUUACUCGUAUCCACUAACAAGACCAUAUACCGGUUGAUUGGUUCUGUAUCAGGUGAGCAUGGCACGUGAGAAACGCAGUUUUUCGGCGUAUCUAUUCAUGCAACAAGGAUAUUUGUUUUUGGCCUACGUUGCAUCUGUGACUGUGAGUGCAGUCUCAAUCUCUCUCUAUGCGGUUAACCAAACAACGACUGCUCCUUAGUCAACGCACACGCUCAACCCGUAUAGAUAUGCACAUGUUACCAAUCAUGAGGAUAGUAAUAGAACACGUUGCAUACAAGUAAAUGAGUUGCGCUUAGGCUAUCCGCAACCGGUACCCCUAAAUUUUUCCCCCUAUAUCACCUUUUCCCCCUAUUUUUUCAUCUCCCGCAGUGGUUCUCCCUAAAUACUCUCCCUAUACCCCACUACAACUAUAAAAUAUCAUUUUCUAUAUCAACUAACAAUUUUUUAUUUACUAACAAUUACUCGUGGAUCCACAGCACAGUGUUUAGGGGAUUAACAGUGACACGCUAGAUCUAGGAGGAGAGAGAAGGAGGCCAGCGUGUAGGAGGCGUUGUAGGGGGCACCGCUGCGGCCGUAGAGUGCCCCCUACAGGCCACAUGCAAGAGAAGGGGGCUGCGUAGUGGCUGCCGUUGCAGUUAGUCUUAUACGACUUGUACCGUGAUGACCAAGCCCAACGCCAGCAAGGCCGAAUUCGUGCGCGUCGUGGGCUCGUGGCCAUGUUGCAUGCGGGCUAUGUGUUCUGUUAUUUGCAUUUUCCUUUUCAUUUUUUUAUGAGAUUUUAUUUUCCUUCUUUCUUUUUUUCCUUUUUAUUUUCGGACUAUUUCUGUUUGUUCAUUAGUUGGUCGUUGCACCAUCCGUUUCCUAUGCUGUAUUUCUAGGUAAGGAUACAUAAAAAAUAUACCUGUAUCAGUAUCAUGCAACUAUUUGGAUAAUAAUCAGUUGCAUGGAUGACGGACUUUUUUUUUUGCCUAUUACCAGGUUAAGAAUAACAAAUUUAUGACGUCAUGUAUUUCCGUAUUUGUAUGCAUAAUUUAAUAUUCCAUUCGUCCUAAAAUAUAAUUCGUUUCAGAUUAAGCCUAUCUUUAUUCAGUAAGGCAGUAACCUAUAAAUAUAAUUUGUAUGUAUAUAUAUAUUUAUUAUCAUCUAUAUGAAUGUGGAUGGAAAAAAUGAGAGCUAUAAAAAGCUAUAUUUUAGGACCGAAAGAGUACAUCUUUUAUUUAAUGUUUCUCUUUGAGCUUUCCUGGAACCCACUCUUUGGAAAUUAUGGUGUAUACGACUAAGCUUAUUCGAUUUGGUUAAAUCUAUAUCGAUAUUUGUAGUAUUUUGGAUCUUUUAGCCAUGGCGCCGUUGCAGGUUAUCAUGGCGUGGAAUUUGACAUUAAGAAACUAUUUUUGAUUUAGUUUAUUAUAAAGUUAGUCAGAGAUACCUUUAGAUUAUGCAAACUGACUUGAUGCUUCAGAAUAGAUGAUCUGUUUAUUUUUAUUUGGAGUAUGUAGUUGGACUCUGUUACAUGUGCCCAAACAUAUAAUUAUUUUUUAUGAGCUUAAUUUAAUUGGUUUUAACUUUGCUAGCAUGACUGAAUAUACGCACCGCUUCUCUUUUGGGGCACAAUUUCAUUUGAUCAUACAAUUAUUUGUUUAAUUUGAUAGUAGCCAAGACAUAUGUAUCUUUCUUUUUUUUAGCAUGCAAGACGGUGUGCCCCCAUUUUCAAAAGGAAUUUGAAGAGCCUGAACUGCCUGGCUUAAAGCAUCUCCAACCAUAAGUUCUAAACAAGAGUCCUAAAACUUGAAAAAGAACCCGGUUUAAAAUGUUUAAGGCUCAAUUAACUUUUUUAACUCCAACGGUGGACCCUAUAAUAAAGUGUUUUUUUGGUUUUUAUCCUUACCUGUCAAAGUAUUGGAGUCAUUUUUUCUGUUUUAACUCCAAAAGCAGUUUCAUCGGUUGGAAUAGAGGGAAAUAAAAAGAUAGAGCCCGAAUUGAUGGGUACUAUAUAUGGCAGCCACUAUAUAUAGGACCCCAACCAGGCAACCAUCGAGUCCUUAAUCUAGUUGAUAAAAAAUUAGUAAAUUAGGACUCCUAUUGGAGACAAUUUUUAUAACUUGAGCCCAAUAUUUAAAUUUAGGACUCAGUUUGAGACUUCUGUUGGAGAUGCUCCGGCUAAAACAUAUGCAGAUUUGUUUCGAUAUAAAACCAAUUUGUGUUCAUAUCUAUUUUACCAUGAACACCCAAAUUUCACUUAGGCACAUUUCUCCUUUUUACAAUUUUACGGUGGCUCAUGAUAAUUGAAGUUGUUUAGCCACCACGAUGUAUAUUUUGAUUAGGCCAAAUCUUAUUUUGAUUAGGCCAAAUCUGUGUCAACGACCCUCACUCCCUCGGUUGAAACCCAAGUCUCGCACACUUUGCAUUGGGGCUUUGUCUGACUGCUACAAUCACGCUAGGCCGCAUACGCCAUGGACGGCCAAAGGUUCCCUACCUAUAAUAGCCCGCCUCCACCACCAUAUAAACUUGGCCUCACCACCCUCGUCCCUCACCGCACCACAACAAGCAUAGAGACACCAAGCGUCAAACUUGCCAAGCAGCUAGCAACCAACCCAAGAAAGCUAGACACCAUACCCAUGGCUCGCGCUAGCGUCGUCUUCGUCAUUGCUACUCUCCUCUUCGUCGCCAUGGUUGUGGCACCGAUGGCCGAGGCAAAGUCCGCUGAUGCCCCCUCCGCCGACGCCCCCGCCCCCGCUGCUGACGCACCUGCCGAUGGACCUAGCGGACCGGCGGGUGCACCUGGUCCCCAGGGCGUCGAGGGUCUAUCGGGCAAUGAGGACGACGAUGAUGACUCCACCAACUAAGGCCAAGCACGUCGGUCCGGUUGCAUUUGGAACAAGACAUGGAAGAAAAGUGAGAGCAAUGUCGUUUAAAACCAAA
rnacentral:lncRNA from 1 species